GAGAGAGAGAGAGAGAGAGAGAGAGAGAGAGAGAGAGAGAGAUCUACAAGCAGAGAUGACAAAGCUACAAAGGAAGACAUUGCUUUGCUAAGACAAGAUACUCAAUGGAGUUGCAGAACAUCUGGAGCUCUUGAGCCAGAAAUCCAGGCUGGAUUAAAGCUGAAUCUAGUUGCAGAAGCAAAGGUACAGGACUAGGUCCUGAUGGACCAAUGGACAGAUGGACAGGUGGCAAUUUAAGUAGGCUGAUAACAGUCAUGCUACUGCAGCUAUGGGUGUCUUUUUUAUGGGAGCAGGAUGAGGAGGUCACACCUUUUCUUGAUCUGGUAUGUUCCACAGUUCUCAUUAUAUUUAUCCUGAUAUAGUUUUAAUAUGCAUACCAUCCUAACACGUUCCAAGUAUAUUUUGAUAAGUUUCUAAUUGGCACAUUUUUUUUUACUUUUAGCAAUAAAUUGUCUAAUAGCAUUUUUGUCUUGUGAAUGAUGCUGGGCAGAUUAUAAAUCAUAGAAGCUGCACAUGAAACUCCCCCCUUAUCUAAUCACAUCACAAAGGUCACCUCUGAAUACCACAGUGGGACUAAAUGUCUACCCUCUUCAUUGCUAUCAGCAGGGCUUGAAUUUCUGUAUAUGAUGACAUGAGGAAGGAUGGAUGUCCCAAGCAAGGUCUAGCUCACGCUCUAGUGCUCUACAAGAAAUAUUUCAAAAUAUGAUGGGAACAUUGUGAGCAGUAAGCCCAGAUGCAGAAAAAAAAAUCUUAGUUUCUAUUUCUUUGUUAUUAAAUAGUUUUGUUGUUGAUGGUGCUAAACAUCCUGUGAUGGCAUCAUACCUCUCAUACACGGGGACAAAGAUUUGAGGCUCCUUGCCUAUUAUUAGGAAGCUUUUUCACUAUUAUAAAAAUGCAUUGCUGGAGUAUGUUACGUUGGCUAAUACUGUUCCAGGAAAACCAUAAGUCCACACGGGAAGAGUCCAACCUCAUCCUCAGCUCCUCACUUUGUCAGCUCAUCGGACACAAAGCAACCACAAGGCUAGGCUUUCUGCUCUCUUUGUGGAGCUAGUGGCAUGAGAGAGCAGCCAUGUAUUUGAGCUAUCCUGGUCUCCUGGAGAGAGCCAGGGUGUGCUGUUGGACCUCGUUCACAUUGAACAUUUGUUCAGCAUGGUGGGAUGCAAUGUGAGUGGUGCCUGCCACAGGGAUAGGUUUGCUAGUCUUUUCAGGGAUCUUUUUGGGUUUCAAGAGAAUGCUUUUAAAAAGAAAGUAGAAGUGUGUUAACCUCUGGGCCUAAUUUACCACGUACUUGAUGUGUGUAGGCACAACGAAGGGAGUAUUCAGCUCUUUUAACGUCCCUUCAGAUUUUUCUACUUCCAUAAAUAUUUUUAACUAGAGCCUCAGUUACAAGCAUCACAUUUUCCUAACAUUACUGUUUUAGCUGAUGCUUAAAAUUGCUGCAAACUUAUCAAAAUAUGUGCAUUCAGUUUCCAGGCUGGUCUGUUUCUGAAGACUGAACCAAACCAGUCACUUCCUACUUUGUACAUUUUGCUGCCGCCGGUAGUUAAUUUUCUCUCUUAUAGUCUUCAUUAACGUGACCCAUUCUCCUUCAGAUUCUUCGCUGCUGCUUGAUUAAACAGCAUUGUUAGGUACGAUGAAGUAGGCUUACCUUGCACUGCCUUAGCAAGGCCUCUAUCUUUUAACAGUUGCUGGUAUUGGCAAGCUGCAAUGUUUGCAAAUAGCAGAUAAACAACACCUUGUAUGUACAUGCUAUUUUCUAAUUAACAUUGGGAAAGAAUUUAGGGUAAUGCUUUUAAGGCAAUGUGAACUUCAUAAUUAAUGUCUUUGUGUGCUUUGCUUUGUAAAAUAUUUUUUAUGUAAUUAUGAGAUAAUGCAGUGAGUCCUGCAUUGCUUCGGAGAAAAAUUACUAGAAAGCCAACAUGUAAAAAUAUAUCCUAGCACGUUUGUAGGAAUGCUCUAAUUUACAAAUUUCUUGAGUAUCCAUUGUUAGGAAGUAGAGCAGUGGUUUGACUAGCUGGGGCACUAUAUAUGUCCCUGGGUCAAUACCUCAUCACCUCCUUCUUAAAACCAUUCAAUGAGGGAUCUCAGUGCUUCUGGGAUAUGACACCAACUCCUUAACAAGAUUGGAGAACCCUGCAUAAUCUCAUCCAAUUCUCUCUGACUGUGGCCCUCCUACUGUGCUCAGCCACUCUCUUCCACCUCUUCUGUAAAGCCACCCCUAAGUUCCUUUCUAGGCAAGUGCUUUCUCCCUUCAGGCUGUCUGCUGUGAGUCCCGAUUGCUCUGUGGCUCAUGUUCUGUUUGUUGCAUAUGCAUAUUUUUUCACACUAUCCACAUAUCAGAUCUCAAUUGAGUUUCUUUUCUGGACACUGAGUUCCUCUUAUCGAUCUGUCACCGUGUUCUGUUAUAGAAAGAACCACAUUGCUUGUCUUCUUCACAACCAUUUCCAUUGCUGCUGAUACUCCUGUAUUACUUGUGUCUAUAAAGUCAAGGACAAUACCUGGUUUGGUCAUCCUUUUGUUUGCUUUGAACUCUGUACGUACUCAAGACCUGUUGAAAUGGGACCAGGAAGAAAUGCCUGUGUGAGCCUUUAAGCUACAGCUUACUCAGAAAAGUAACCACCGUUAGGAAUUUUUAAUGAUGGCACCUUUUUAAUACUAAUCUAAAUGACAGCAACACAGAAGAUUUUAAAAAGUCAAACUAUAGUCUCCCUUCAAAAGGAACUCUUAAAGAAAUAAAAGAUAGAUUAAAAAAGUAGAAAACGAUUACUGUGAGGUCUUUCUGGUUGGGUAAAUAUAUUCUCUGGUUCUUUAUUGCUCCCUAUGAGGGAUAAGGAGAACACUCAGAGCCUGCUAGGUAAUAUAGCCUCCUGCAUUUUUCAUAGAGUCUCUGAGGCUUUCAAGCAUUUGUGAACAAGAGCAGUGAUACCUUUCGAUUCUCUAUACAGUUUUUCUUACAAAUUAGCCAUUUACUUAGCGACUUUAUUCAUGAUAUUUUUGUGUUUACCCAAGAUUUUGAAACAUUGGCUAAUAACAGAUUUAUAUAUUUGCACAAGAUUUGGGUUUUCAGGGUUCAUAUUUGUUCUAUAAACAUAUUAAGAUUGUAGCUACUCAGCAGUUGUUUAUUCUCCAAUACAUGUGGAUAAAAGAUUGUCAAAUUUUGUUUAUGUUUUGGAGUAUCUCUGAGUGGGUGUCUAGAAUUUACUACUUGAGUCUUGGUAGUGAUGGUGAUGGAGGAAUGGAGAGGCGAGCUCACUCAUGCUACGACCAAGCUCGGGUAUGCACACACACAUUAGUUCACACAGCAGCGUUCUCCACAAACAGAUGUUGCUGGCAGGUGUUCUGCGAUGCUUGACUAGUAAUGCCUGUCUCCUGCUAGGUACUCUCUGAAAGAUAACCCUGUUCCCUAGGGCAAAACUAGAUUCUCCUCUGGCAACUUGCAGCUGCCAUCUUCAGUGUGUUUCAAGCCACAUUCAUAACCACUUUCAGGCUAUCUGCUGGGUUAGAGGCACUGUCCUGUGCUGAUUUCUGGGUUCUACUUCUGUUGGGUCCAACCUUUGAGGUCAUCCAUCCCUUCACUUUCUCCUCCCACAGUGUUCUUGUUAGUACCCCCUUUACUUGAGUAGUGGUAUUUUUUUUUUUUUAGUUUGCUAGAAAGGCAGUUUCAGGGAGGCCAAGCUAAGUUUCUGGAAGGUCACUUGCUAGAAAAGAGAAAACACAAAAUUGGAAAAAAAAAAAGAAAAAGAAAAAGCUCUCUACAGAGACAUAUUAGUAUUAUAAAGCAUAUAGUAUCGAUGGCUUUCCAGUUUCUUAACCUCUGACCUAUGGCAAACACUCAUUUUUUUUUUUUUUCAAAAUCUGCUGUGGUGAUAUAGCUCAGUAAUACGAGAGCACUUGCCUAGCAGGCAGCAGGUCCUAGAUUUUAUCCCCGCACUACCUCCAAAACCCAAAUACAAACCAUACAUUACUGCUAUAAUUUUAUGCUCAAUACCACAGGAACUCUAUUGUAUAAUAUUGACUGGCUGAGAAGUAUAAAGAACCUUUCCUGGAAGGCUUUGUUUUCGGUUCUUAGCGGGUACUUUCUUAGAUGAGGAGAGUAAAAUUGUAUUCAGCUAUUUCAUAGAUUCCUUUUAUCCAGAAGGGGUAGGGGUCCAUUAGCUCCCAAUAUUGUUUCAGCUUUUCUCAUAGAUAAUGGGCUUUUCAUCCACUUGUUUACAAACAUCGUUGAAAAUGCUUUUUUGUCAAGAGGACCUUAAGUCUAAUAGAAUGUUGAUGAACUAAAGUGGUGCUUGGUUUUUUUUUUCUGUUUUUGUUUUUGUUUUUUUGUUUGUUUUUUUGUUUUCUUAGAGUGUUAUGGAGGAACCAGUAGAAAUUUAGACUCUGGAAAUCAGAGCUUGAAAAAUAGCUGAUUGCUGUUUUUCUGAGUGAUGUCACAUUUCCUAUCUUUAUUUAUCCAUUCAAAUUUUAAUUAAACUAAAUUACUAAGAAUUUGAUUUUUCAAUUUCAUUAGUCUUAUUUUAUGUGGUGAACCACCACACAGGGCUAGUGGAUGCACAGUGGCUAAUGCACAGAACAGUCCCACCAUUGCGCGAGUUCUGUUGGGCCGAGCUACUGGUCAGAAUGACAUGUAGAAAAAAACGAAACGAAACGAAAUGAAACGAAACGAAAAAACGUUAGGGGCCUAUGGUGAGGAUCAGUGGGUAAAGGCAGUUAUGGCGAAUCGUGGAAACUUGAGUUCAUCUCUGGAACUCACGUGGUGGAAAGAGAACCAACUCUUUUUAUUUGUAUUCUGAUUUCUACACACACACACACACACACACACACACACACUUGAAUAAAUGUAAAAAGAUAAUGAAAAAUAUGUCAUAAAAGGCAAAGCCCCAAGUUAGACCAGUGGACAAGAACAGCCAGAGAAGGGCUUUUCAUAUUUAUUUUUUAUAAUCAAGUACAUAUGCUUAGAAUAGGAGAUGAGCAUUACUCUGGAGACCAAGGGUAGUGGUUUCUUCUCCUGGUAUAAAUUUAGUGAAACUUAAUAUUUUUCGUUAGAGACAUGACAGUCUAGUUCCUAAGUUAGUAUUUGAACUGUUUGUGUUAGCUUUGUUAACAAGGAAAAACCAGACACUUAUGCAGGGAUUAGUUUAGCAUCAUGCAAGUGUAUAGAAAUAUUACACGGUGAUUAGUUACCCAUAAAAAUUAUUUGAUAAUUUUUGAUUUUGAAAUGGACAUCUCGACUCUUUGCAAAUGCUUUCUGUGAUCUCACGAUGAGCUAAAUGUUGUUCCAAAGACGGUGAGGGGUUCAGCCAACAAAUGAGUAUCCUGGAAAAGGCAUUGAGGUAAAAAAGAAUUAUAGAACACUUAGAAGAAUUCGUGCAGAGUAUUUUCCAUCAUUUUGUAAAUGAUGUUAAAACACUAUGGUAUCCCUUAAUAUUGUAGUGCAAUUCAUCUGUCACAGACACUUAUUUUCUUGCAGCCAAAUGAUAAGAUCAACAGAACCGUGUGUUUCCUAAGCUCUUCCUGGAUAGAGAAUUCACUAAAGUUAAAGCUAGGAAAUUGUCAGUCAUUAAAUCCAUCCCUUCUUAGAUUUAUGUUCCAGAAAGAAUUGAUCUGAAGCAUCUAUUCUUUCAAUUACUUCAUUCCCAGUUAAUAUGAGAUCACUUCUGGCCCAGUGGUAAAAUCAAAAAGGACCCAGAAAAGUAUGUUUUAUUAUUAUUAUUUAAUCUUUUAUUUAUUUAUUUAUUUAUUUAUUCAUUCAUUCAUUCAUUCAUUCAUUUACAUUCCAGAUUUUAUCCCCCACCCCACCAUCCACCCUUGACUGUUCCAUAUGCAGUACCUCCUCCUCAACCCCUGUCUCCAUGAGGAUGUCCCCACCCCCCAUCCCCCACCCAACCAGACCUCUAAACUCCUGGGGGCCUCUAGCCUCUUGAGGGUUAGGUGCAUCUUCUCUGAUUGAACACAGACCCAGCAGUCCUCUGCUCUAUAUGUGUUGAGGGCCUCAUAUCAGCUGGUGUAUGCUGCCUGGUUGGUGGUCCAGUGUUUGAGAGUUCUCAGAGGUCCAGGUUAUUUGUGUCUGCUGGUCCUCCUAUAGGGUCUCUCUCCUCCUCAGCUUCUUCCACCUUUUCCCUAAUUCAACAACAGGAGUCAGCUGCUUCUGUCAAUUGGUUGGGUAUAAAUACCAGCUUCGGACUCUUUCAGCUUCUUGGUGGGUCUUUCAGAGGGCAGUCAUGCUAGAUCCCUUUUUGUGAGUGCUCCAUAGCCUCAGUAAUAGUGGCAGGCCUUGGGACUUCCCCCUUGAGCUGGAUCCCAUUUUGGGCCUGUCUCUGGAUUUUUCUUUUCCUCAGGCUCCUCUCCAUUUUCAUCCCUGCAGUUCUUUCAUAUAGGAACAAUUAUGGGUCAGAGUUUUGACUGUGGGAUGGCAAUCCCUUAAGACUGUAAUACUCCCUGGGGAUUUAGAGAGUAGGAGUGACUUUAAGUGGUACUCCAAAGAAGAUUCAUCAAUACUUAUUAGGAACAAUUUUGCCUGGAAAACUAUUGUAUGGUUUUCUGCAUUGUAAUUACAAAUUGUUAUAGUCAUAGAUAACACAGGCAGUAUAUGAUUUAUUGUGAAGAUGAAGACAUUUAGUUUCAGGGUGUGGCAGUUUGAGUGAGAAUGGCUCCCAUGGGCUCAUAUAUUUGAAUGCUUGCUCUCCAGCUGAUGGAACUGUUUGGGAAGGAUUAGGAAGCGUUGCCUUAUUGGAGGAAGUGUGUCACUGUGGGGUUCAGGGCUUUGAGAUUUCAAAAGUCAAUGGCAUUUCUCCUUAGCUCCCCCCUCCCUUACUUUUGGAUAAGGACGUACGCUCACACACACUGUUCCUGCCAUACCUACCUGCCUCCUAUUAUGCUCUCUGCCAUGUCAUGAUGGUUAUGAACUUUAACCCUCUGCAACCAUAAGUCCACAUUUCAAAGCUCUCGUUUAUAAAUGGUCUUGAUUAUGGUGUUUUGUCAGCGCAACAGAAAAGUAACUAAGACACAGAGUGAGCAGUGCAACUUUUCCAAUGUUGGCUCUUUGUUAAUGUCACUGUUUCAGGUUUCAGGCUGUCAGGCCCUGGAUGUUUAUCUUCAGGUCUUCUGAGCCACUGUAGAUCUGGAACAGAGUCUAGGGUAGGAGAUAGUUUCAUUGACUGAGACCUCAAAGAUGGCACCCAAGCAAGAGCCAGGUCCUUUAAACAAGGUGGCCUUUGCCAUCUGAUGCUUCUAAGCAUUAGGUCUUUGGAAGCUUUAUCAUUCACUUUCCUUAACACAAGUUUGCCCCUGCAAACCCCAAGCUGGUGCUCAUUUGUGGCAAAGAACAACAAGGGAGCAGAUGGAUCCAAAGCUUAUCUUCACAGUAGUUGACAUGAAUUGGUACUCGGUCUCCACAUUCCAGAGCUUACUAGAGCAGCUGUAGCCAACAGGGUUGCCUGCCUGUGAGAUAUUCACUAAGCUUAUGGCCAGGUGAGAGCACUGAAUUUGUUCAGUAACCCUACUCUGAAUGUGGUGGCCAUUUUGUGGUAUAAAGUUUCUUCAGAUCAUGGCUUUUGGGAGCCUUUUUGGAAUUCUACUCCGUUCCUCUGCUUAGUUUUCAGCCAAAACUUCUUCAUGGCUCACUCACCCUCCACCCAUCCACUCAUCCUGCAAGAGUACUAAAAUUUUAGUAGAUAUGAACCCCAACUUUGGAGAUCUACUGUCUGGAGAUUUUUCAUGAGGAACAUAUACCCCAGCCUUCUCUGGGUCUCAUUUUAUCAAAUAGCAGCUGAUGUCAAAUAGCAGGUCACAAAAGGCUUGAGAGCAUUCUUCCCCGGAAGUUUCUAAUCUUUUAGCUUUCUUUCUUUCUUUCUUUCUUUCUUUCUUUCUUUCUUUCUUUCUUUCUUUCUUUCUGACAACCCUUGGGGUCAGCUCUUCUUUUCUUUCCCUAUGCCCAAAGUGAGGGCAUUGGGAUUUUGUGAGUGGGUGGAUCUAAUCAUUGUUCUCAAGACUCAGCCUCUUUGGAAGGUUGGAUCUUGAAAGGUGGGACAUGAUCCCAGGUCUGGCCAUCUCUAUACUAGCUUUGAGGAGUUUGGCUGGCUGUGGGGUGAAGGGGUAUAAUCAUACUUAGUUCUCAUCUCUCACUCACCUCCUUUGCCCCAGGAUGGCUUGGUAGAUAAGAUAUACUCUCAGGCAUUCUCAGCUUGAUGUUGGGGAAUGGAUGAGAGUGCAGACCAGUGAGUGAGGAGAAGCACUCAUAGUCCUCUAAGUCUGUACUAAGUCGUGAGUCUUAAGAUCCUCUUAGUUCUCACCCCACCCUUUGCCAUGUAACCACUGCACCUAGUCUGCCACUAGAAUAAAAGGUCCCCCAUACUCCCCAGAGCCUUGGAGAAACAUAUUGUUGCUCACCAAUAUAUGUCUUCAAAUUGAAGACUUUUUCUUUCUUUUUUUUUAAUUUAUUUUUUAUUAGGUAUUUUCCUCUUUUACAUUUUCAAUGCUAUCCCAAAAGUCCCCCAUACCCACGCCCCCAAUCCCCUAUCCACUCACUCCCCCUUUUUGGCCCUGGGGUUCCCCUGUACUGGGGCAUAUAAAGUUUGCAAGUCCAAUGGGCCUCUCUUUGCAGUGAUGGCCGACUAGGCCAUCUUUUGAUACAUAUGCAGCUAGAGACAAGAGCUCCGGGGUACUGCUUAGUUCAUAUUGUUGUUCCACCUAUAGGGUUGCAGUUCCCUUUAGCUCCUUGGGUAAUUUCUCUAGCUCCUCCAUUGGGGGCCCUGUGAUCCAUCCAAUAGCUGACUGUGAUCAUCCACUUCUGAGUUUGCUAGGCCCCGGCAUAGUCUCACAAGAGACAGCUAUAUCUGGGUCCUUUCAGCAAAAUCUUGCUAGUGUAUGCAAUGGUGUCAGCGUUUGGAAGCUGAUUAUGGAAUGGAUCCCUGCAUAUGGCAAUCACUAGAUGGUCCAUCCUUUCGUCACAGCUCCAAAUUUUGUCUCUGUAACUCCUUCCAUGGGUGUUUUGUUCCCAUUUCUAAGAAGGGGCAAAGUGUCCACACUUUGGUCUUAGUUCUUUUUGAAUUUCAUGCGUUUAGCAAAUUGUAUCUUAUAUCUUGGGUAUCCUAAGUUUCUGGGCUAAUAUCCACUUAUCAGUGAGUACAUAUUGUGCGAGUUCCUUUGUGAUUGGGUUACCUCACUCAGGAUGAUGCCCUCCAGGUCCAUCCAUUUGCCUAGGAAUUUCAUAAAUUCAUUUUUUUAAAUAGCUGAGUAGUACUCCAUUGUGUAAAUGUACCACAUUUUCUGUAUCCAUUCCUCUGUUGAGGGGCAUCUCGGUUCUUUCCAGCUUCUGGCUAUUAUAAAUAAGACUGCUAUGAACAUAGUGGAGCAUGUGUCCUUCUUACUGGUUGGGACAUCUUCUGGAUAUAUGCCCAGGAGAGGUAUUGCGGGAUCCUCCGGUAGUACUAUGUCCAAUUUUCUGAGGAACCGCCAGACUGAUUUCCAGAGUGGUUGUACAAGCUUGCAAUCCCAGCAACAAUGGAGGAAUGUUCCUCUUUCUCCACAUCCUCGCCAGCAUCUGCUGUCACCUGAAUUUUUUAUCUUAGCCAUUCUGACUGGAGUGAAGUGGAAUCUCAGGGUUGUUUUGAUUUGCAUUUCCCUGAUGAUUAAGGAUGUUGAACAUUUUUUCAGGUGCUUCUCAGCCAUUCAGUAUUCCUCAGGUGAGAAUUCUUUGUUCAGCUCUGAGCCCCAUUUUUUAAUGGGGUUAUUUGAUUUUCUGGAGUCCACCUUCUUCUUACUCAUCUCAAAACUUCUUGUGAAUUGUUUGAACAAGUUUUGAUGACUUAGCCUACUGAAUUAUGUUAAAAAUUAUUUUCCUAAUCCACAUUAAUGAAAACACUCCAAAAUUCAACCCAGGGGUUGAAGGUAUACAUCAGUGAUAGAUUUUAUUCUUAGCAUUGUUAGGUAUGUGGUCAACUCUGUUGUACCCAAAAGCCAAGCAUACUUUACAUUUUCCUCUUUUGGCUUCUUUUUAUAGCCCAUUUGUACUGGAACAUGGUUUCUAGACCAAGCUGGCCUUGAACUCAUUGAUCUGCCUGCCUCUGCCUCAAGAGUGCUGGAAUUAAAGGCAUAUGCUACAGUAUCCAGCAUCCAGAAAUAACAAUAAAGUUGACUCAUCGAUAUAGAAAUUUUUCCUAUGUGUCUGAAAAUUUUUUUCAAUGGCCUUGUAAAGAAAAAGUACUUUGUUAUUGAUUCUCCUGGGCACAACUGAGUAACACAAAGGGUGGGAAAGAGUGCCUUAUAGUUGGAGAAGAGGAUGAUGAACUAGAGGCAAAUGAGAGGAAUCAUAAAUCCACCAUCCUUCUAGCUUUUCAUAAGGUUAUUGAUAAGACUAUGGCAAUGCAGCUUUAAUUCAUAAUUGACUAUCUUGAAAAUGUCAAUUCUAUUGAGUCUCUUUCUACAAAAUUAUUUUAAAGCUGUUAAUUUAAGAAUAGAAAUCAAUUCAAGAACUACCAUGUGCCACAUGCAAGCCAAUCCCCCCCUCUGCAUUUUGCACUGCACAGAGGUGUGGUGUUUCAGCUCUGGAGUUGAUCUGCAUUUAAAUACUGUUUCUGAUCUUCCUAAGUUGUAUCACCUUGAUCAACAUGCUCAAUACCCUUCUGUUUCCAUUUCUUCAUGUAUAAACUAGGGGCUGUUAUAGUAUUUUCCCAUAGGGUUCUUAAGAGCAUUAAGGCUGAUAGCAUCUGUACACUUGGAAUGCAGGAAGGCUCCAGAAAGAGUUGAUUGCGUUGGUUUUUAUGAGUCCACCGCAAUGAGAUUAAAGCAAUUUGCAAGCUUUAUGAGGAGAAAAUAUUGUCUAUGUAUAGAAUCACCCUUACAUAGUAUUAUUAGGAAGGAAUUUGCAGAGAAGGGUUUUGGAUCCAAAUUUGCCUUUGGCAAUUUAUGUCAGGCUGAUGGAUAAACUUAGCUAUGUAACGGAAAGCUAUACAGGGAUCAUCACAGGGAAGCUGGGCUCCCGGCUCUUUGCUAAAGCUAACGGAUAAUUCAGAUCAGGAGAACCCAAAGCAUGUUCUCCAGAAGAAGAAAUCAAUAUCAGGCUCCACAUUACAGUUUUAAUUAGUCACAUAAUUAUAUUCUCUUACAAAUUUACAAUGAAGACAUUACAUAAAAGCUUGUGUGGAAUUCACUCACACACACACACACACACACACACACACACACACACACACACACACACAGGAUACUACAGUGAGCCAGAGGGUAGGUUCCAGAGCCCCUUAGACCCAGGUAUGAAUGCCAAGGCUAAAUCCUGCUUAUUUUGUCCAUGUAGUCCACUAAAAGUACUCAAAGGCAGUGAUGGAUGCAGGUGUGUGAGCUCUUUAGUAGAUACCGCUGAAUAAGGAUGCUCAAGAAAUGUAGCAGAGGAUGGCCUUUUUGGGCAUUAGUGGGAGGAGAGGCCACUGAUCCUGGGAAGGCUUGAUGCCCCAGUGUAUGGGAAUGCCAGGGCAGGGAGGUGGGAGUGAAUGAGGAGGAGGGAGUGGGUAGGUGGGGAAACACCAGCAUAGAAGCAAGGAGAGGGAGAAUGGGAUAGGGAGUUUCCUUGGGACAGGAGGAAACUGGGAAAGAGGAUACCAUUUGAAAUGUAAAGAAAAUAUCCAAUAAAUAAUUUUUAAAAAAGGAAGAGACAGGAGGAGAAAAACACUUGACAAACAACAUAUUUCCUCCCCACAUGAGUUUCUCUGAAUGCUGCUUGCUAUUAGUCAUUCAGAUGAAAAACUUGGGAGCAAGCAUAUAGUGUAUUUUUAAAAUUUGUAUAUGGGAGUAUAUUCAUGUGCCCAUGAGUGCAUGCGUGGAAGAGAAAAGUUGACAUCCACUGUCUUCCAAUAUCAGUCUGUACCUUGUUUCGAGAGACAGUCUGUCAUUGAACAGUGUUGAGAAGACAUUGUUUGCUGAAGUUCUUCCAGGUAUCUGACUCUCAGAACCUGUUCCUUGAUGUUUUCUGAGCCUUGCGGAGAAGGUUGGGAUGUAACAGUCCCAUGAAUAGUUAUAUACAAUACAGACAAUAUCUCUCCACUUUUACGAGUUGUGAAUCUAUAUUAGUCCCUGUUCACUGUCCAAAGAAGUUGUUCUGAUAAGGACAUAGGGCUACACUGAUCUAUAAGUAUAGAGAUAAAGUAUUUAGAAGACAGUUUGAGACUAUAGCCAUUUAACAUAAUAAUAGUAGUAAAUUCUCCCCCUGGGUAGCCCCUUAACAAUGGAUUUUUGGUAUAAGGAAUGAAUUCUCUCCAAUGAAGUGGGUCUUAAAUUGAUGUAGAAAGCAGUCACAUACUCCUAUAAUAUCCAUGUCACUACUGUAUCCAUGGGUUUAUCUUGCCUGCCUGGUCGUUACUGUAGGAACAGGGCUCACAAGAUGGGUAAAGGAUGUUGACUAGUUUUGUCCUCUAGCAGACAGCAUAGCACCUUCUAGAGUUAUGACUGCAGGUUAAGUAGAGGAAAAACUUCUCUGUCUUUACUUGUUUGAUUUCUCCAUGUUCUGUGAGCAAAGAAUGUGCUUACCUUGGUUAUUGUGUCAUUUUACAUAAAUUUGCAGCUUAUCGAUUUAAUGUGUUGUUCUUUUUUAUUAUUUUUUAUUUAUUUUUUAUUAGGUAUUUAUUUCAUUUACAUUUCCAAUGCUAUCCCAAAAGCCCCCCACACGCUCCCCCACCCACCUACUCCCACUUCUUGGCCCUGGCGUUCCCCUGUACUGAGGCAGAUAAAGUUUGCAAGACCAAUGGACCUCUCUUUCCACUGAUGGCCGACUAAGCCAUCUUCUGAUACAUAUGCAGCUAGAGACACGAGCUCUGGGGAGUACUGGGUAGUUCAUAUUGUUGUUCCACCCAUCGGAUUGCAGAUCCCUUUAGCUCCUUGGUUACUUUCUCUAGCUCCUCUAUUGGGGGCCCUGUGAUCCAUCCAAUAGCUGACUGUGAGCAUCCACUUCUGUGUUUGCUAGGCCCCAGCCUAGUCUCACAAGAGACAGCUAUAUCUGGGUCCUUUCAGCAAAGUCUUGCUAGUGUAUGCAGUGGUGUCAAGCGUUUGGAAGCUGAUUAUGGGAUGGAUCCCCGGAUAUGGCAGUCUCUAGAUGGUCCAAACUUAUGGGACACAAUGAAAGCAUUUCUAAGAGGAAAACUCAUAGCUCUGAGUGCCUCCAAAAAGAAACUAGAGAGAGCACACACUAGCAGCUUGACAACACACCUAAAAGCUCUAGAACAAAAGGAAGCAAAUUCACCCAAGAGUAGUAGACAGCAGGAAAUAAUCAAACUCAGGGGCAAAAUCAACCAAGUGGAAACAAGAAGAACUAUUCAAAGAAUCAACCAAAUGAGGAGCUGGUUCUUUGAGAAAAUCAAAAAGAUAGAUAAACCCUUAGCCAGACUCACUAGAGGGCACAGGGAAAGCAUCCUAAUUAACAAAAUCAGAAAUGAAAAGGGAGACAUAACAACAGAUCCUGAAGAAAUCCAAAACACCAUCAGAUCCUUCUACAAAAGGCUAUACUCAACAAAACUGGAGAACCUGGAUGAAAUGGACAAGUUUCUAGACAGAUACCAGUUACCAAGUUAAUUCAAGAUCAGGUUAAUGAUCUAAACAGUCCUAUAUCCCCUAAAGAGAUAGAAGCAGUCAUUAAUAGUCUCCUAACCAAAAAAAGCCCAGGACCAGAUGGGUUUACUGCAGAGUUCUAUCAGACCUUCAAAGAAGAUCUAAUCCCAGGUCUUCACAAACUAUUCCACAAAAUGAAGCAGAAGGUACUCUAAUGUGUUGUUCUUAAGAGGAAAAAAAACUGAUUUAUUCAAUAACCUGUUUUGGUCAUCUACCUUGAAUGUAUUGAUAUAUAUCACUCUGAUGGGUGAUUGGAUGAAUCUUAACUGUGGUUCCUUUUAGAUGAUUAGACUUUUACUCACUAGGAAAUGUUAGAGUUGAGAAAAUCUUGUGAUGUUUCUCAUUUAAUUUUUUUUUUCUGUGAAAACUCUGAGGUUGAGGAUAUUUCUGGAACAUGCAUAAAAUAGCCAAUAGUGUUAUUUCUGCACAGAUGGAAGAAAUUGGUGGUAAAAGACUAAUGGAUUUCUUGUAUGUGUAGACUCAGGCAAUAAACUCCUUGAUCAGGAAUCAAAUGUGUAACAGUAUUAUUAUCAGUCUUAUCCAAGAGUGUCAUUUGUGUUUAAAAUUAUUCUAGAUUUGCUUGUAUGAAAAUAAUUGCACCCAUAAGACAAUCAUGUAUAAAUACAAAGAUAUAACCACACAUGCAUUAAAUGCAGAUAUAGAUUUAUGUGUUUCUGUAAGUUUAUCUACAUAAAAUUUUAUACCUUUACAUUUAAAUGGCAUAAUUACUAUGGAAUAUAUAGAAGUCAAUCAGAGUUUUUGUAGAAUUAAAUGGUAGGAGCUCCUGAGAUGGUUAGUUAUCUAUAAGACAUGAUCCUCUUCUGUUGAAGCAAGGCAUCUGAACUAGAGAUCAAUAAUAGGUUGUUUUAUUGUUGCUAGAAACUAGAAAUUUUAGGCCACUUGAUAGGCAGAGUCUGUGGGUGUCUGGCACAGUCUCUGGCUUCAAAGUCUGCUUUGGAUCCUGCCUAACUCAUUCGGCUUCCCUCCUGGGGCUUCUUGAUCACAAAAUUGAAGGCCAGCUGCUGCUUGUCAUUAGGAAACCCAGUGAGUGUCAACAUGGCGCUGGGGGCUGUCAUCUCUGGCUCAGGGGUCACCAAGGGAGGCCUGCACUCCCGCUGCUCGGGGCUUGGCAUGGGUUGUCUCCAAUCAUAAAUAGGCUCAGAGAAGAUGUUUUCAAUGUGUGUCUCUAUUUUUAAACAAUGUUUCAAACAAGAGAAUGGCCACCCUUAGGUUUCUUCCAAGUACUUUUAGUGUGAAUUGAAGGACUCUCUUUGUAUCCCCCCUGUAUCCCCCCCUAAAGCUUUAAUGAAGUAGCUCUCUGCCCUCUGCUUUUGCACUCCAGUGUGUGUUCACUCAAUCCUUUUUUUUUUCAUGUAGCAAAGCCUCAAGAAAUGCUUUAUUUUCUAGCACCACUUAAUGAAGACAAUCAUAUUAUGCCCUGUAGCUUAACAGUUGUGACUAGUCGUUUGGUGUGAUGUCUUGGUCGCUGCUCCUACAUAUGGUGCUCUUGUUCACAUAUGCUAAAUUGCUAAACUCUCCGAAAUUCGGCUGGAUGUUUUGGCUGAAUAAUUUCUCCUGGCAGUCAGAUUGCUCAGGUUGUCUGUAUACCGGGCAUACUGAAUUUGGUCUCCGUAUAUCAAACCAUUUCAUACAGUGUAAUAUUUUUGUUCAGCAAAGUCUUUUAAAUGAAAAGAAAAAUACUGACAUUUGAACAGAAAGGCCACCAGCCUUAGGAAAUGCCAGAGGAAUUCUACAAACAUCCUUUUUUCAGUGGCCUAGACAAUUGGGAUCUAAUUCUUCUUGGGCAGCAGAUGGAGGGAGUGAAAGCUGAGCUUCUAAAUGGCAUGAGUCUCUAGUUAAAGGGCUUGGUGCUGUGCCAUGCAAACAGCCCUGCUUUUUUUCCAGCCCGCACUAAGAAUGGAAGCCAGCUUUCAGGGAAGGCUGACUGCCUCUCAGAAUAGUGUGAAUCACCCUUGGGCAUUCUAGAAGCCAUCAGAUUUUAAUAAGAGAUCUAUUGAAAAGGAAUGCUAUUGAAAUAUCAAAACCUUCACAUAUAUUAGCUCUAUGAUGUGUCAAUGUUUGUUUAUGUUUGGCUGUGCCUCAGUGUUUAGUCCCUUGGAAUUCAAUAAUAUGAAAGUGAUGACGUGUUACUUUGACACAUUUAUCUUCCUCUUUCUUCCCUGACAUUCCAUUCCCUUUCUUUCACCCAGCAUAAAAACAUGUGCUUUCUUUGGGAUUAGUUUUUGGGAGGAGAAAGUCAACCAGGAAGGAAGAACAUUAAGUGGUAAAACUUGGUAAUCUGCCAAAUGUUUUUCUCAGUAUUUUAUCUCACCAUUAAUGUCACACAAAUUCUUAGAGCUUAGAGAUAUGUUGACUCGUCUUGUGUCAUGUGAAUUCUAGGUUCUAACUUUUCAGCAAAUUUUACAUAAUUUGUAUCUAUUGUCAUUUUCAAAAGUUUUGUGCAAUAUUAAUGAUAAAAUAUAGUGUAAGGCUGAUGCAUUUUAUACUCAAAUCCUUAUGCUUGCUUGAACAAUAAUAAGGGAUAGCAGUCAAUGUUAUGCCUUUUGUUAGAGAAAUUGGGGACGGUAGCCCACAUAUUACACUUAUAUGAAGCUUAUCAAUUCUUAUCAUCCAUGAGAAAGGUGGAAGUAGAGAUGAAGGAAAUAGGGUUUUUACUGCAUUAAACAUAUUGUGACAGAUACAAGAGCCCAUGCUCUAUCAUCAUCUAUUUUCAUGAAGAAAGAAAGAAAAAUGGGAUGCAUCUUAGGUUUCUUUCUAUCUUUUAAGUACAUGUGCCUAAGUACUAUAAUUGGCCAUCGCUGACUUGUCAGAAAUCCUUGUGUACCAUAAUGGUCUGCCAGCAGCAAGAGUGGACAGAAGCACCACUCAGUAAUUGAUUCUGUUUGCUGAACAUCUGGUGGAACAGCCUGCAUGUUUAGUUGGAAGAAAUGUUCCCCAACCGGAAUAAGUUUGCUGCUGGGGUUUAGAGCACUGUCGUAACACCUCGGGGUGCUCUGAGCAUAAAACACAUAGCAACUGGCAAUUGAGUCAAUAAAAUCAAAUGGGGAUGAGAUGAGACCUUGUCACACAGGGACUGUGGUGACAGCUCCCCUACACCAAGAUCUCCUAGCUAGAUUUUACAAUGGAAAACAGACGAUAUCUACUCUAUAAUUGUUUUACUCUAUGCUGCUUAUAGUUAGCUAUUCUUUUUUUUUUCUUAAAUGGAGAUUAGCUUUAAUAAAUGCCAGGAAAUAAAACUCCAUUAUGAGAAGAAAGGAAUUCAUUACCAGAAUACAAUACUUGCAAAGUGUUUCUAUAGUACAAGUUUGUAGUGAUUGGAAUGUGGUGUUGACUGUGGAAAACAUUCUCAUUUGGCUGUGUUUUUGUCUAACGGGUCUGGCAUGUGCUGGGGUAUUGUUUGGUGGCUUGAUUGUUUUGCUCAUAAAUGUGUGAUUUUAACAAUAAUGAAAGUUCAAAAUGUGCUUUUUGUCUCACCCAACAGCUGGUGAUCAGGAUUCUAAAAUGUUUCUGUUUUUAUUCUGUUAUUUACUUCUAAGGAUCUCAUGGUAUGGUCUAUUUUAUUGUAGGACAUUAUCAGAAAAGUUUUCUAAGGAAGUAAGGAGGUUGAAAUAAGCCUGAGUGCAUUGCCAAGAUCAUUGGCAUAACCCUGUUUGCCUAAAACUGCAGCAAUGAAUCCUAUUAAGAUGAUUUUCCUAAUAGACUGAGAUUUCCUGGUGAUAAGAACAUACAGUUAGUAAAAACAUCACUCUACUGCAUACCUGGGCAAAGGCCCAAGGCUAUGGAGGUCAUAGACAAUAGCAGUGAACCCUCUACUCCUGUAUUGCCAAAGAGACAUGCUGUCAAAACUGUUUCAUAAAUAUUAAUGUAUAUGCUUAUCGGCUCAUUCUGCCCUUAGUCUUGAUCAAAGAGGCUUCUCUUUGGAGCAAAUGUAGAGAAUGAUGACUAGUCAAAGUGCUUAGAACACUGCAGAAGAGGGCAGAAAAAAUAUUUAAGAGCUGGACACUGGGGAGGAGGAUGUAUAGUGCUGUCUUAGGGAAGCGGUGUGGCCAUGACACUCAUGAACUCGGAGCUGUCAUGGUUGCCUACUUAGGGUUGGCAUAAAACUCAAGCCCUAAACGUUCAGUCAUAAAUAGAGGGGGGGCUCAUGAGUCUCAUGUUGCUCAGCAGAGCUACCAGCAUUGGUGGGCUAAUGUGGGAGAGGAAGUCAUUGUCUUCUAUUAUGUAGCCAGUGUUGGAUCUCUCAUGUCCAAGUGGAUAACUUCAAACCCAUGCCCAGUAAAGCAGCCUUAGUUAAACCUAGUGGGUCAUACAGCAAAGGCUGUAAAAACAGCAUCAAAAGACAUGAAGGUGGAUGGAUACAUACCCAGUCGGAAGAAAAUAGAAACUCAAAAUCUGUAAUCAUCAGGGAGAUGCACGUCCUAACCACAGGUUCUAUUUCACACCUGUGUAUUUUUUCCAUCCAGAUGUUUAAACAUGUCAGAUACUGGCCUCCAUAUGAAGAAAAGGAAAUCUUGCUACACUGUUGAGGAUAUAAAUUUGUAUUCCCCUGAUGGAAAUAAAGGCAGAAGUUUGAUUCUCAAAGUAAUUGCCAAUAAGUCAAACAUGCAACUCAGAAAACUCUAUAAAUAGCAGAACCUUGAAGAAAUAUCUGCUUUGCCAUGCUCAUGGUGACAUUUUCCAGAGGCCAUGUAUAAAAAGGUUUUAUGUAUCUAAUGAAUGGAUGAGUAGAUAUUAUUGUGAUAUAUAUAUAUAUGUGUAUAUAUAUAUGUACAUAUACAUAUAUAUCAUACAGAAAUAUGUAUGCAUAUAUAAUAUAGAUAUGUGCAUUACUAUAUGGUAUAUACUCUGCUAUAAAUUUAUACAUGAUAUAUACUGAAUUAUGUUUUAAAAAGGAAAUCUUGCAUUUUUAAAUAAGUGGAGGGCUAUAAGUACUGAAAGAGAAAUCUGUAUGAUCUUGUGCAUGUGCUAUGUGAGGUAGAGAGACACUGAGGUAGACACUGAGGCAGACACCGAGGUAGAUACUGAGGUAGAUACUGAGGUAGACACAGAGGUAGACACAGAGGCAGACACUGAGGUAGACACUGAGGUAGAGAGACACUGGGGUAGACACUGAGGCAGACACUGAGGCAGACACUGAGGCAGACACUGAGGCAGACACUGAGGCAGACACCGAGGUAGAUACUGAGGUAGAUACUGAGGUAGACACAGAGGUAGACACAGAGGCAGACACUGAGGUAGACACUGAGGUAGAGAGACACUGGGGUAGACACUGAGGCAGACACUGAGGCAGACACUGAGGCAGACACCUAGGUAGACACUGAGGUAGAGAGACACUGGGGUAGACACUGAGGCAGACACUGAGGCAAGCACUGAGGUAGAGAGACACUGAGGUAGACACUGAGGUAGACACUGAGGUAGACACUGAGGCAGACACUGAGGUAGACACUGAGACACUGGGGUAGACACUGAGGUAGACACUGAGGUAGACACUGAGGUAAACACUGAGGUAGACACUGAGGUGGACACUGAGGUGGACACUGAGGUGGACACUGAGGUGGACACUAAGGUAGACACUGAGGCAGAGAAUGGAAAGGUUGUUACCAAGGCAGGAGGCAGGAAAAUGCCACAGAAUUGAUCAAGAAAAGCAUAAAAUUGCAAGUGUCUGAGAUGUAAAAGUUCAGAAACCUAAUUAUGUAAGGUGAUUAUCAUUGAUAAUAAUGUGUACUUGAAAAUGCUGAGAGAGUUAAAUUUCAGGUCUUCUUACCAUAAAUAUACACAGUAGCUGUGUAAGGAGGUGGCUCCAGGUACUGGUUUGACUGCAGCCAGCAUUUUGCUAUGGGUUGCAAAACACGCUCUUAUGAUUUCCCCAAUAUACACAAUUUUUAUUUUAAAAAGAGUUCAUAGUACUUCACUGCAACACAGUGCCUUAUAUGUAGUUCAUACUAAGUGAAUGCUGAUAGAAAACAUUCAUUAUGAUUUAUGAUUGUUUUUGCUGCAUCAUUUAGUAUCGAGCAAAACUUUGUAGAAGAAAAGAGCCAUUUUGUAUUAUUUGCUUUGCCUUGUAUAUGUUUGAUUUAAAUAUUUUUAUAUUCAUUCAGAUUUAAUUCUAACAGAUGAAUUUAUUGUGAUAUAAUAAGAAAGAAAAAUGUGCAAAUUAUAUAUGUCUCAGGUAGGAGGAACCUUACUGUAACAAUAUUUCAGAAUCAUUAGACUGGUUGAUUCUGGUGUCCCCCCCACCCCCCACCCCCACCUGACCUCUAAACUCAAUAGGGCCUCCAGUCUCUUGAGGGGUAGGUGCAUCUUCUCUGAUUGAACACAGACCCAGCAGUCCUUUACUGUAUGUGUGUGCUGGGGGUCUCAUAUCAGCUUGUGUAUGCUGUCUGUUUGUUGGUCCAGUGUUUAAGCGAUCCCAGGGCCCAGAUUGAGACUGGGGUCCUCCUACAGGGUUGACCUCCUCCUCAACUUCUUUUAGCCUUUUCCUAAUUCAAUGACAGGGGUCAGCAGCUUUUGUCAAUUGGUUGGGUGCAAAUAUCUACACCUGACUCUUUCAGCUGCUUGUUGGGUCUUACAAAGUGUGGACACGCUAGGUCCCUUUUUGUGAAUGCUCCAUAGCUUCUGUAAUAGUGUCAGGCCUUGGGACCUCCCCUUGAGCUGGAACCCACUUUGGGCAUGUUGCUGGACCUUUUCUGGGCUCUAUUUCUGACAGCCACAUGUUAAACCAAAUUCAGAGACAGUACAGAGUACUCAGCAUUCUGCAGUAUAUCUUGGUAUUUUCAUAUUAGGAUGAGUUGAACAUAUUCAAGGACCAACUAUUCAUUUCCAGCUGCUAAAUCAGGUGCUAAGAAUAUAAAAGCUAGGUGACACUUUCUCAGCUUUUAAGGUAAUCCAAGUCUAAGAAUGAAAGCAAUCCAAUGGUUAACAGAGUAACCAUAGACUCGUGUGUGGUAGUGAGGUGACGCAUGGGAAGUAUGAGGCUCACUACUAGAGAGAACUCAUGGUCUUGGAUUUCUUCCCAUAAGAAUAUGGAUAGCAAAGUUGUAGCCAUUUGAAGGGAUGAGAAAGCAGAACCUGCCUGGUGUUCUGCCCAUCCAGAUGCAGUUGGCCUUUGUGAAAAGAUAAAGCUGGUAGAACUGAAAGAGAUGAUUUGUAUUGUUAUAAAAGGCAGAUCAGAAUAGGACUUAGCACCAAAGCAGAGUACUCUACUGAGCACUAAUGACAUCCACGGUACAACCUGAGAGGGAGAUCUGUAGCCACGAUCGUUUCACAGUUGAUGGUUUCAAGGAGAACCAUUGUACAUCUAUAUCUAGCAUGUGACCUGGCAAGGGUGGAGAACGCUUUCUUUCAGGAAGGCAGUAGGAAUUAGAUGCUGCUUGGGACAGAAAGUAACACUUUGCUUCAGCCCUGUUGGGAUGGGCUUCUAACCACCAAUAAGACAUUGUUGUAUCUCUCCCUCUCUCAGUGUGGGGUGUGUGUGUGUGUGUGUGUGUGUGUGUGUGUGUGUGUGUGAGAGAGAGAGAGAGAGAGAGAGAGAGAGAGAGAGAGAGUGUGUUCCUGCAGCAUCUGUUCACCAUUUAAAUUUUAAAUUAAGGUGUCUGGCUCAGUAUCCUCGGUGCCUACAGCAGGCACACAGUAUAUUCCAACUCUGUCUCAUUGGCCUAGGCAUUUUUACUGACACAAAUGCAAAUACCAAUCUUUUAUCAAUGGAAUUAAAUAGGAUUUCAGCUAGUAUCAUGGUGAAACAUUAUGCAAAAUGAGAAUGAUAACUGCCCUACACCAUGGGUAUUUGUAAAGAUAGAGGCAGUUAAUGAACUAAACCACUCCAAACAGACACUACACCGUCAAGUAAUAAAAUACUGUUUAAGUGAAUAAAAAUGUCUCUACAUUUUGGGAAGAAAAUAUGUAAUAUCUUCAGCAAUAGUAUUGGGGUCCCAUUAUCUAUUUUUUGCAGGGAGCAAAGAGAAAUUAUAACUCCCUGUAUUGUUGUGGGGUCUUUGAAGUUUUUGUAUGCACCAACUCACCAGGUGUCCAAUAUCAACUAUACCUGGCUUAGAAUUUUUUGGUUUCAUAAAAGUGGAUAUAAAAACAGCAUUAUUCAGCCAUGUAGGAUAGCUCCCUUCUAACUAUUUUCUGUUGUCUGUCUAUCUAUCCUAAUGAAUUCAUUUUUUCAUAGAGCCUUCAUUUUGGUUAACCUUUAUGUCAUGGUCCCCAACUCUCUGAUCUCAUGCAGCCAUCCUGCUUAAACCAUUCCUCCUUCAGGACUUGAUACCUUUCUAUAGCCUAUGUGUUAUGAGUUCCUCUCCCUUAAGGCAUCCUCCGUCUACUGUUUGACUCUUCUAGUUUCCUGGCUUCUAUAGGUUCCUCAGACUGAGCAGGUAAACAUUGAAGAUUUGAAACUAGAAUUUACAGAUGGUUCAGGUUAGGUGACAUUUGUUUCUGUGGCCCUGGGUUGCUUAGCUCAGUGAGUUUCUUCUUUCCAGAUCAAUCCAUUUGCCUGCAAAACUUUAUAAUUUCAUUCAUCUUUGCACCUUGAUAGAAUUCAUUGUGUGUGCCAUAUUUUCAUAAUCUAUUCAUCUUUUAGUGGAUAUCUAGGCAAAUUCUUUCCCUACCUAUCUUGAAUAGAGUAGCAAUAAAUAUGGAUGAGCAAGUAUGCCUGUAAUAAGAUAUAGAGUCCUUUCAAACCACAAGUGUUAUAGCUGAGUCAUUUGUUGAUUCUGUUUCUUGCUUGCUGAGAAGCCACUACAUUGAUUUCCAAAAUGGAUGAGGCAGUCUCCACCCCUCCCAAUAAUGAAUACAGGUGCAUCUCCCUUUACAGCCUCAGCAACAUCUGCUGCCAUUUAAUUUUUUUGCCAAUACCUGUUCUGACUGGACUGAGUGGGUAUCUCUAAUUACUAUUAAUUUGCAUUUUCCUGAUGACUAAGAAUAUUGAACGCUUCCAACGUUAGCAUUAACAUUUCUUGAGAAUUUCCUAUUCACUUCCAAAGCACAUUUUAAGAACUGAGUUAUUUUCUUGAUCCUUUGCACAAGUUCUUCAUAUACUCCAGAUAAUAAUCCCCCAGACUGGCCUCACUGUGGCAUGUCCACUUCUAUAAGUACCUGAUUUCUCUAUGCUGAGAUUAACCCUUAAAAGAGAAUAAAUUAUCGGUUUCAUGGCUGCUAUGUUUUAGAAGUGUGCUCUUAAGAGAGAAUAUUGAGAAUAGAUGUGAACAAUCUCCAGUCCCCACUCCACACAUACCUCCUCUGUAUACCACAACCUUUUGUAUCUAUUUUUUAAGACAUAUACACAGCAUUGGAGUCAUAUAUGCAAUUUUAACAUGUAAGUUAUUUUAUCUCAUUCACACUUUGUUUCUGAAUUUUUAUUGACUUAAACCCUUAUUUACUACUGGACAGAGCAGUGUCUUGUUGGAAUGCUUUAGUCCACUAAAAACCUUUAUCCUUACAUACAUCCCAUGGUGUAGGGCAGCUAUUAUUCUCAUUUUGCAUAAGGUAAAUGAAGCUUAAAGUAUAACUGAAAUGCCCAAGGCCAUGCAGUCAUUGAAUGUUAGUGUUAGCAUUAGAACGUACUUUAUGAUUGCCUGCUGGCUAGUAAUACUUUAUCUGUUGUUUUUCCUAUGGAUAACUUAGAAAGGAUUAUGACGAGGUAUUUCAGGCUGAUUUGGGGCAAUCAUUUUGUAUUUUUCCAUGAAAGGUGUGCUUCUUUAUUAUCCUUCCUGCAUGUUGUAGGCCUUGUUGAACUUUUAGAGAAUCUAUUAGACAUCCCACAAACACCACUGUCUAUUGCCAGAGUGAUGGAGAUCUUCAGAUGAAUUAGAGGGGAAUUUUGUCCUUCAGAAACAGAUUGGAUCAGACAUACAGAAAGUAAAUUAAAAUAUGACUCAAAAUGUUCUGUAAUAGCAUGAAAAUGUAAGCAAGCAUAGACAAUAAAGCAGAGUUCUCCACUGAGAGAUUCCCAAGGAUUACUGAUGUUUAUACUGGGAGUUGAGGGUUAAUGAGGAAGUUUCCUGGCCAAGAAGAUUUUAAGUCAUGAGCAUGUUUGAGUGAAUAAACCAUGGUGUAGGACAGCUAAGGCCAUUUUACAGUAACAGGAAUUUUUUUGUGGUAGGGGGAUUAAUGGGUACAUGAAAAAGAUAGGAAGUGAGGAAUUCAAAUAUACAUCCAUGCCAAAUAGAGACAGCUCAAUUUUGCGUAGUACAUAAUGACAAAUUUCAAGGGUUCUGAUGAAAAUGAUGUGCUUUAAAUGAGAAUUCUGAAGAAUAGAUUGUGGUCUGUCUGAGGGGAAUUAGUCAUCAGACAUCUCUAAGCCAGAGAUUUAGACAGCUGUUGUUCUAACAGUGUCUGUGAAAUUGAAGCUUGCAGAAAUGCUUGUGUAUAUUUUAAAUACUGAUUUAACUGCUAUACUAAAGAUUCCAAUUGUCAAAAUUCACUUCUAACGAGGGAAAUCUUCUUUCUCAGUUAAAAACAUCAGAUGUAGCAACCAAAUCCUAAGAUAGAGUCUUCAGUGCUAUAUAUAUAUACACAUAUAUAUAUGUAUACAUACACAUGUAUAUAUAUAUAUAUAUAUAUGUAUAUAUGUGUGUAUAUAUAUAUAUAUAUAUAUAUAUGUGUGUGUGUGUGUGUGUGUGUGUGUGUGUGUUUGUAUCCAUAGACAUAUAUAUUGUAUAAAGGCCACCAGCAUUGAGGACUGGAUGGGAAAUAAACAAUAAAUUCAGAAUUUUUUGUAAAGACUGUAUGUCUUUAUAGCAUCCAUUCUUGCAUAUCAGAUAUUUAUAUUAUAAUUCAUAACAGUAGCAAUAUUACAGUUGUGAAGAAGCAACAAAACUAAUUUUAGGGUUGGAGGUCAUAACCACUUCUGUAGAGGGAAAGAUGGGAAGGAAAAUAGGGAAGAAUAAAAUUAGAACACCUUCUAAGUUGUGGGCCCCACUCUAUUGCUCCAAUAAGAGCAGUCUACAAAUGCCUGUUAAAUUCAAUCUGCUCUGAAACCUUCUGCUUAAAAGAAAAUAGCUUCCACAUUCUUUCAGGAUCCAUCCCUAACUCAAACAUGGCUCAAAUUUAAUAUUCAGCUUAUUCACAAGCAGCUAUAACUCAGCACCAGGGAGAUUGCCGAGAUUUUUAAGGCUCUUGACUGUCAAUUAUGGAAAAUGAGUGAUUCACUUUCCUUCUAUUUCCUAAAGUUAUUUAUCAUUUUUCUUCUCCGCAAGGAAUCAACCCCAGAAGGGAGAUAUGCAUGUUUUCUUGAUGUUUCUUGUUGGUUAUUUCUCUACUUAUGAAGGAGAUAGAAGUAUCCUAAGAGCACCAGGGGUCUUUUACUUGUGGCAUUUGUGCAUGAUGCAUAUUAAAGUUGGCUCAAAGGUACUUGUCUUAUGUUCAUGUGCAAGUACAGCAAUGUAUGUGUACUGAUGUAUGGGAAUGGAGGAAGGAGUGUUAUUGGAAACUAUAAGGGCUGAAAAGUUAGAUGAGAUGAGAGCUAUAAUAAGCACUUGAGAUAUGUAGUGAGUUUGGGUUUCAGUACAACAGUUGGAAGACCAAGAAAGCACAAUGAGAAUUGAGCCAGGGAAGGGAUAAAAUGUGGGCUGCUUUCAAAGACUCUGCAGACAAGCCGAUGGUCUCUUAUUAGGAUGCAGAGAGCUAGGGACACAUCAUGAAUGGAGAGCAAAUCUACAGUUGUUUUAGUCUUUCAUCCCCUUUCCUUCCUCCUCCUCCUUCUGUUUUCUGCCUGUGACAGUUUUACAUUUAUAUUCAGGAUGAGGGAAAGAAGGAAAUACAGAGACAUCACAAAAGUGACAUGUGGAGGAAGAUGGUCUUAUGCUCUAUAGGCGCAAAGGUUGAAAAUAGAAUAUUCUGUGUAGGAUAAAGUGAAGUUUAAAGAUGGGGUCUAAAGAGACAGAUAUGAGAAUAUUUGUUUAAUUUUAGUUUGCCCCUGUGAAUUAUACAGCUGACUUAGUAACUCUUCUGGAAGGGCAGAAUGAGUAUUUCAGGAGAGUGAAGGAUUAUAGAAGGGACAUAACAGGAGAAAAUACAAAGAGAGUGGAAGAACAUGAAGGUCUGGAGCAAUGGUCCUCACCCUUCCUAAUGGCGCGACCCUUUAAUAUAGUUCCUCAUGUUGUGCUGACCCCAAACCAUAUAAUUAUUUUGUGGUUACUUUAUAGCUGUACUUUUGAUACUGUUAUGAGUCAUAAUGUAAAUAUCUGAUAUGCAGAAUUUCCGAUAUGCAAUCCCUGUGGGAUUUGUGACCCACUAUUCUAGAUGGAAUCAGAAACCAUCUAUCCAAAUUCACUCUGGAUAGAUGACUGUCUUUGGCAAUGCUUCAAUGUUGGGUCAUCCUUGGAAACCAAUGGCAGCUCUCAGGUUUACUUCUAUUCUGUGUGGCCUCACGUUGGGAGCUAGGCUUACACUUGCUCCAUCAACAGUGAUUAUUGGUAAAGUUCUAACUAGCUUAAGGAAAUAUUCCGAUGGAAAAUUUAUUCAGCAUCUGCCUCAGAAGAUACAGGACGAUAGUCCUGUAUUCACCGCAUGCCAUUUGUAGGAACAUACUUUGUUGCUUUAAAUUUAUUGAACAGCCUUUCAGUUGUACUUUAAAAGAAAAGAAUACCAUAAACUAUUUGUUUUUAACCAACUAAUCUGAUGGUACCAUUUUUGGUGUGUGCAUAUGUACCUUAAAGACAGUCCUUCAGAGCCAAGCAGUGGUGGCACAUGCCUUCAAUCCCAGCACUUGGAAGGCAGAGGCAGACAGAUUUCUGAGUUUGAGGCCAGCCUGGUCUAUAGAGUUCCAGGACAGGCAGGGCUACACAGAGAAACCCUGUCUUGAAAAUUCAAAAACAAAACAAAUACAAACAAACAAAAAACAAAACAAACAAACAAAAAAGGACACUUCAGUUUUGUUCUUUAAGGCUUCUAUACACUCGGUGUUUCCAUGUGUACAGUGAAAAAUUGCAGCAAGAGAAUUAUCAGAGUUAAAUGAAUAGCGCUUGUUCCGUGGCCCUUAACUCAGAGAACUUAGAGUAGUUUUUUGUUUUAGCAACUUCUGUGUUUCCACAGAAGAGUCAGUAGCCAGUGUAUUCUGUGAUCAGUAAUAAAAUGUCAAGAAGCAAAGUUCCAUAUCAUUUGGUUGUAUUUUACAAAGGCAAGUAAAAAGGUGUAGACCACACGGCUUCUUUCCUGCAUAUCAAUUGCACUGGGAUUUCUCUCAACUACUGCCCUCUUUACCCUCUGAGAUGAAAGAUAAUCUCUACUGGGGAUUCCUUGCCUUGUUCAUAUUGUCCUCUAAGAUUAAAGAUGCAAUCGCUUGCUAGAGGAAAUGCAUCCUAUUUCCUGAAUCUUUGAUUAUAAUAUAAAAAAACAACAUAGACAAAAAAAUGGCAGUAACUGGGGUUUGUCUUGAAUUCAUUAUAAUCUUUGGCUUGCUUUCAUAUCCUGUAUUGUGUGUGACUCCAGAGGGACAUUUGUUCAUAUGGAAAUACAUAUUUAAUACCCAGCUACUAUUUUAUGAUUUUUAGGUUUUCCUAAAUGGCAAUUAAUUUUUGCUUCUCCAGGUUUUAGAGUUUCUGAUUCUGAGAGCUUUCUUCUUCAAAAUGACACAGGUAAAAUGAGUUACCUGGUAGGAGUUUGAGUAAAUACUUAGUGCUUUUUCUGUUGAAAUGUCUCUCUCAUGCAUAAAAUAAAUGGUGAUUUACUUUAGGAGGGAAUUGGCAACUCCAAGAGUUUCAGUGUUCUGUGAACGAAUUUGCUAUUUGAGCCAGAGGCAUUUCACACUAAAUCUGAAAGAACUGGAUGUGUUGUUUAUUGUCAGGUGAUACAAUAGUUUUGAUCUGGCAUAUUUUAUCUUUAGAUUCUUAAUUAAUGGUGUGUGGGCACAUGUACCGCACUGCUUGUCUAGCGGUCAGAGAACAGCUCUGUGGAGUUGCUUUUCUCCUUUGCCCUUUGCAUGGAUUCUGGGAUAUGAGACACGUUGCAAGCUUUCAGAGUAAGUCCUUCAACUAUACCCCUGACCCCACUGUGUUAAGCUUUACUUCUACCAAACCAACAGUGAGUUAAGUGUUCAUUUUCUCUCAAGAUAUGUUUUCCUCUGCUGUCCUUUCUUAAUUACCCUAGAACACUGGACCAGUCUGUUUCUGUCCUCCCUAGUCUGCUCGAAUAGGGAUACCUCAGGGGAGGGAGACUCUCUUUUCAUUUUCUUUCUGCUUUAGUCCUAGAACCUAACAUGUAGUAUCUGAUCAACCAAUGUCUAUCGAGUUCAUGCAGUGCACAAGCAGGUGCUAAUUUGUGCAUUGCUUGAUGCCACAGACUGUAUUAAAAGUGGCUUUGCUGAGUGUGGUAGUACACACCUUUGAUCUAUCACUCAGCAGGUAGGAGCAGAAGAAUCUCAGUGGGUUCAAAGCUAGCUUGGUCUGUGUAAAGUGUUCUAGGCCAUCCUGUGAUACAUAGUUAUACCUUGUCCAAAAAAUAACUUUUAGCUCUGAAUUGAAGACUCCUACUACUUUACAUGGACUGACCUCUUAUGACUUCAUUGCAUCUUGAGUCAAGAUGUAAUAUUACAUAAAUAUUUUCAAGGAAGCCAAACACACGAGGGAUGAAGAAUCCGUGUCCCAAAACAGUAGGAAUGAUCCUGAACUACUCCGCAGAUUCUGUUUAAUCCACGAUUGGAACUAUAAUGUGAUCAGGCCUAGAAUCUACUGAUUUGCUUUUCUAGGGAUGUGAGAAAGGAUUGAAAGAAAGCAAUAAAAAUUAGUCACCAUAGUUAAUGAAUUCAAUUCCAAGUUUCUAGUUUGUAUCAAGAAAAUGCAUGAAUAUUAGACCUCUUAAAGUUAAUCUUAAAGAAAUCUGAAAAAUAUUGCUCUUCGCUAUUUCAAGCACAAAAGGUAUUUGAACUAUCUAAUAAUAAACCUGGGGGCAUGCUACUUAGCAAAUGUCUACUACUUUGGAAGUUAGAGUGGUUUAUGUCUUCAUUCUGGGCCUUAGGAUAUCUAAAAAUCUAUGAGUAAUUUUAGUUUUCAACAAGAAAUGAACAUAGUGAAGCACAUGGCCUUGGGUAUGGUAGGGCAUCUUUUGGGUAUAUGUCCAAGAGUGGUAUAGCUGUGUUUUCUAGUAGAACUAUUUCUAAUUUUCUGAGGAACUGCCAGACUGACUUCCAUACUGGUUGUACAAGUUUGCAAUUCCACCAGCAAUGGAGGUGUGUUAUCCAGCAAUGGAGGUGUGUUAUCCAGCAAUGGAGGUGUGUUAUUCUUUCUCCACAUCCUCGCUAAUGUGCUAUCACCUGAGUUUUUUUUUUAUCUUAAUCAAUCUAAUUGGUGUAAGGUAGGCAUCAUGAAUUUUGAAGGCAAAUGGAUGGAACUAGAAAAUAUUAUCCUGAGUGAGAUAACCCAGACCCAAAAAGACAUGCAGGGUAUGUAGUCGCUGAUAAGUGGAUAUUAGCCAAAAAAGUACAGAAUACCUAGGAUAUAACUCACAGAUCUUAAGAAAGGGUAACCAGCAGAAAGGCCCAAGUGUGGAUGCUUCAGUCCCACUUAGAAUGGAGAAUAAAGUAAUCACUGGAGGUAGCAGGAGGGGGAGGGAUCUGGUAGGAGAGGAGAGGGGAACAGGAUCAGGUAUGGGGACAGCGAACAGGUAAGAAAUCCAUAGAGACAGGAGAAUGAAUGGAACCAUGCAGCCUCAGGGGUGGGAGGUGGGGGAAACCCUCUAUAAAGUACCAGAGACCCUAGGGGUGAGACACUCUUAGGACUCAAUGGGGAUGACCUUAGCAAAACUGCCCAACAUUCAAGAGAGGGAAUUCAAAGAGUCCACCUUCAGCAGAUAGACAGGGCCUCAAGUGGAGGGACUGGGUUACUAACCCACAGUGAAAAUUUCUGACCCAGAACUGUUCUUGUCUAAAAGAACUGCAGAGACAAAAAUGGAGAACAGAUUGCAGCAAAGGCUGUCCAGUGACCUGCCCAAAUUAUGAUCCAUCUCCUGUGGAGGAGGAGAGACCAAGGACUGACACUAUGAAUGAUGCUAUGCUGUGCAUACAGACAGGAACCUGGCAUGGCUGUCCUUUGAGAGACCCUGACUGAGACAGAUGCAGAUACUUACAGUCAACCACUGGACUGAUGUCAGGGACCCCUAUGGUUGAAUUGGGGAAAGGUUGAAGAAGCUGAAGGGGAGGGUGACCCCAUAGAAAGACCAGCGGUCUCAACUAACCCAGACCCCUGGGAGCUCCCCAAGACUGAGCCAGCAAACAGGAGCUUCCUCUGGCUGGUCUGAGGCCCUGGACUCUUACAUAGCAGAGGUCUGCCUAGUCUGGCCUCAGUGGGAGAAGAUGCACUUAAUCUUCAAGAGACUUGAGGCCCAGAGAAGGGGGAGGUCUGGUGAGGGGGGAGAGUACCUACCCUCUUGGAGGCAAGGCGGAGGAACAGUAGGAUGAGGAACUGUAGAAGGGGGACCAGGAAGAGGGGAAACUACUGAAAUGUAAAUAAAUAAAAUAAUUAAAAAAACAAAACAAGAGAUAAUAAUAGCAAGUUGACCAUAUUCUAGAAGCAGUGGAACAAAAAUGCAGAAAAGAAAAUGGAAAGAUUCAAAGUGAUGGACUCACAAUCAUGCCAGGAGUUAUCACUAAUGAUCUGACUUCUCAAGAAGUAAAUGAUUCUCUGUGUAUAUUUACAGUUUGAAAGAUGAGAAAAGAGCCGCGGGGGGGGGGGGUUGGGGGAGCAUUAUAUUCAGACUACCCAAUCUACAUGUGGGUGAUGCUGGUUGUGUUUACAACCUCAUCCUGAUCAUCAGGUGUCCAGGUCUCUUUCAGUCUGUCCUCUUGAACCUACAAAACCACUGCUGUCACGCACUCUCUGCUCCACUGCUCUCUCCUGGCUCAUUUAUUUGCUUUCAUUUGCCCACCUUGUCUCUCUAGAGAGCAAGCAAGCAGACAGAGAAAACAGCCUUCCUUGCCAUGUCUUCUCUGAACUCUAUAGAUUUCAUACAGCAAGUAAUUGCAGAAUAGUGUGGAGAUCAGCUGACAUUAUCUGCUUCACAGGGAUUGGCCAAAGGUGUUGGUUCUAAAGUGGUGAGAAGUUAGACUGAAGGAGUUGAAGGGGUUUGCAACCCCAUAGGUGAAACAACAGUAUCAAACAACCAGAGCCCCAACAGCUUGCAGGGACUAAACCACCGACCAAAGAGUACACGUAAAAGGACCCAUGGCUCCGGCUGCAUGUGUAGUAAAGGAUGGCCUUGUUGGGCAUCAGUGGGAGAAGAGGCCCUUGGUCCUGUGAAGGCUUGAUACCCCAGUGUAGGGAAAUGCCAGGGCAGGGAGGUAGGAGUGGGUGAGGGGGCACCCUCAUAGAAGCAGGAGGAGGGAAGAUAGGAUAGGGGGUUUCCAGAGGAGAAACCAGAAAGGGAAUAACAUUUGAAAUGUAAAUAAAUGAAAUAACCAAUAAAAAUAUUCCUAAGUGAGGGGUGAAAGAGAGGGGUACAUGAUGCACAUGCCAUGACAGAAUAAGAUAAGGGGGGCUCAUGAGGUAGAGAAAAGGAAGGGGUUCAGAGGUGCAGAAGUGCAGGAUAGGAGGUAGGAGAAUGGGAGAAUGAAUCAGAAUAAAAUAUGAAACACACACAUAUAUGCAUGCUAGAAUGAAACUCAUUUGUUCAUAUUUUCACUUAAAGGUUUUUUAUUAAAUUCGUUCUUUUUCUCAACAAUAUGAGAUAUCAUGCAAAUAAUUGAAAAAAAAAUAAAACCCGCAAGACAUGAAGCAAUUGAGAGAACAGGCACAAUUGAAAUUGCUUUAUUGCAUCUCUGAUGCCAGAUUUCCAAUAACUUCAAAACAAAAUUGAUUAUAAAGGAAGAAAUUUUAUGGAUCUGUCAUUGCUUUUAUAUUCCUUCCAUAAAAAUUUCAAGAUACGGACACGGUCUUUAAUGUUAUUCAAGCAUCCUUCUUAAACAUAUCCAGAGGAGGGAGAAACGAUGGCGCAACAUUAUUAUUGUUCCCACAUUUGCUGCUGUAAACAAUGCAGUGCUUGUCUUUGGUGAGCUGUCAGCUCACAAUGGCUGCCAGAAACCUUCUAAAGCAAGCUCUUAUUAGAAUUAAUCACCAGUGUCAACGGAGACACUGUUAUCCUUUCCAUGAAAUUUAAGCAGGCUGUUUUAUUGUAUGUGUAAAAUAUUUGUUUUGUUUUAGAUAUGGACUUGGGCCAUAUGAAGAUGCUAAUAAGGGUAAUAGAAUCAUUUGGCCUUCCUGAGGCUUUAAAUGCUAAGCAGCUGAGGCCACUCCCUCUUGUGUCUCUGCCAGUUGUCCAUGGUGGUAGCCAUGUUUAGUUACCUAGAACCAAGGGUUCUCUAGAGUGACCUGGCAUUUUGUGUGGUAUUCUCACCAUUGAAUCCUCUAAGUCCCACUGGUUCGCUGACUGCUUCUUUUAUUUUUUUGGCAUCCAGUAUGAUCCAGGAGAAAGAUGGUGACCUGGGAGACAGUGUCUGGCUAUAUAUAGCUUGGCUUUCUGAGCCAUUCCAUGACCUCAGCAAGAACACCUAUCACUUUCUGGUCUUUCUUCUCACUUUCAAGUGUCUGGUAACAUCCAAUUCUGUGAGUCCAAUGGAAACAUUUGAGCUGCACUGUAAUACAUUAUGAAGGGUGGGAGUGUGGUCAUUUACUCAACCUCAACCUCUGCUCUCUGAGCAGGAAGAUCAAUGGCUUGCAAUUAGCCUUGCUGCUUCAACUGUCCGGGCUUGCCAUAACAUUCAUUCUGUGGUAAUGUAUUGUUUUGUGCAUAACGUAUGUAGUUUCCAUACUCUUAAGUAUUUCCAUAAAAAGUUAGAUUAAAACAACAGCAACAUUAUUGAGGUGGUACUUUCUGUGUCACUCCUGUGAAGUCAGACUCACGGCUAUGGUUUGGAGGUUAUCCUCGAAAGCAGAGGUUCUUAGCCUUCCUAACACUGUGACCCUUUAAUACAGUUUCUUGUGCUGUUGUGAGCUCUAACCAUAAAAAUGUUUUUGUUCCUAUUUCAUAAUUGUAAUUUUGCUACCAUUAUGAAUUGUAAUGUAAAUGUCUGCUAUACAGGAUAUCUGAUAUGUGACAUCUACAUAAAGGUCAUUCGACCCCUAAAGGGGGCAUGGCCAUCAGUGCCAGAACCACUUCUCCAAAGGUUCAUAUGUUAAAAGCUGUUCUCAGACAAUGUCAAUACUAGGGGAUUAUGGAAACUUUGAGUAGUAGGGCCUGAUGAACACCUUUAGGACUCAGGAUUCAUGUUUUAAGGGGAUCAAGGGACCCUGGUCUCUUCCUUUCUUUCCUGUCUACUUCCUCAUCAUGAAGUGAAAUAUUGUAUUUUAACAUUUGUUCCUUACAUGCUGUGCGAUCCAGAAUCUACCUCCACCUCACACAUAGGUCUAAUAGCACUGAGCAAUCAACUGUGGACCAAAACCUUCAACUGUGAACUUAAUCUCAUCUCUUUCCCCUCCAAAAGCAGAUUGUGUCAGGUAUUUUUUGCGCUAACAGAAACUCGGCUAAAAUGCUCAGCAAACUUGCAUUUCAGGCCCACCAGCACCCUGGUCUCAAGUUUAGGUAUCACCUGUGUUCCUUUUGAAGGUGGCACUUGACCACUCACCCAUACAACCUGGAAAGUUGUCUCUGUAGAUUAGAAAGCUUCCCAGGAGGGCCACAGGGCUUUGCCUUGGCUUGACCUGAUGCUGCAAAGUCAUCAUCAAUUACCCAGAUUCCUUUAUUUAUUACAGUGAUGCUCAAAUUUCAAUCUGCAUGUCAAUCAUCCAGAAAGAAUAUAAGGUUACCCUCUGCCUAGUCCCUAAUGUGUUAUUUUGUUGCUAAGGGGUAGAACCUACGAAUCUGCUUAUCUAGAAAGUGCCAGGUUGUGGGGAGGGGUGCUGAUCUAGGGACAAACGUUUGGGAUGUAUGGCUUUAGGUUAGUGCUCUGCCCUGGAACUCCACUGUUUGUACCAUAUCCAGAUACUGUAGCUUAGAUACUGCCUUAAUGGUGCAGUCUGAGGCCCCAGAUAGCUGGUCUUGGUGCGCAUCUUGGCCUGUACUUCUGCCUCUCUUAUCACAUUAUCAUGUACUUAAUCGAAAUUAGAUUUUCAUGCUCCUUCAGAAUUUCUUUCAUUUCCUGCCCAAUCUGUGGUUUAGAGAUCCCUCUGAGAGAAGUUCCAAAUACAUUCUUGAAUGAAUAUCAACUACUUGAAAACUUCUACCAUGCUUUUUGUUUCUGCCUUUGACUAAUAGCCUUUAUUUCUUCUUACAGCGCUUUCCCAUCGCAGGCACUCAAGUUAAUUGUGUUAUAGUUGGCUUUAAAAAUCUAAAAGAUGCUCUUCUCUGAGUCAUCUGCCUCCUCUAUCAUGAACUCAUAGACACCGGGAUAGGACAUAGAAGACCUGCACAGGUUCAAACCCGACAAAUCUCCAGCACUAAGAACACAAAGUCUCACUCCUGUCCAAGAAGCUAUUUGCAGCUGAUUCCUUUUAGGAGAGAGAAAAUUAGUUUCUUCAUUGGAGUGUCAGUGUGUCUAUCAACCACACUACAAAUCAGGCCUGAUGUCCAGGAGUGGCAAGCCUGGGCAAAGCAGAUACCUUUGUGUGUGUGUGUGUGUGUGUGUGUGUGUGUAUGUAUGUGUGUGUGUGAGUGUGUAAUUUUUGUUUUGCUUGUUUUAUUACUUUUUGUCUUACUAAUUUUUAAAAUUUGUUUUAUUUUUGAUUUUUGGUUGUUUUUUGUUUUCUUCUUCAUUUCUUAUGUUUCUGAGAGAAAGAAAGAACAUGAUGCGGAUUGGGUAGGUAGGGAAGUGAGGGGGAUCUGGGAGGAGUUGGGAGAGGGGAAAUAAGAUCAAAGUACAUUAUAUGAAAAAAAUUUAAUAAAUCUCUAAGAGGCAAUUGAGUAUGAUUUCUAAUAAGACAGAUUACACCAGUGAGCCAUGGCUUUCUAAGAUAUGUUAAGACCUGCCCACACUCAUUAUAACUUUUAGUCAGCCCUGAUUAACUUGGGUGCUGUCAUUUAGAGCAUAUAUUGUCUGACAUUUUCUUGCCAUGCUUCAGAUAUUUGAUAUUAUUUAAAUUGAAUAUACGGAAUGCUCAGUAUAUCUGAACACUGAAUAUAUUCAGUUAUUAUUUGAGCUUUUUCUUCCUAAGUCCACCUUUCACUUACUCUCCAACUCUGUAUUCAUUUCUGGAGUGACUAGCUUUGUUAUGCUGUGGCAUUUAAUUCAACUCGUUUGAAGAACAAAGUAGAAUGUAGCUACCCUGAUUCAUUCAAAAUGAGAUUUUCUAAUGUUGAGAGAAAUCUACCAGUGUAUGGAAUUCAUACUCAUUACUUUUUUAUACAUAAACAGAGCAGACUAUACAGAGCCGUGCUGAGCCAGCAGCUGUGCCCAUGGGCUUUCUUGAUAAGUCUAGCUCUCCCCUCUCUUGGAAAAUGUUCUUUUCUUCAGCAGACUGGAGGCUGCUGCAGAAAACAAGCAUGUGCAGACAGUAAGUGCCUUGGAGGGGCUAUUCCUACAUGUCAGCACCUCUGUAACACAGCUCCUACACCUAAAGAUCUGAGAAGACCAAUGAAGGGGGAGUAGGGCUAUUGCUAUAGCCAGAGGGAUAGGAAGAAGGAGAGGAGGGACUAUGUUUCUAUGGACUCCCCACCAUGGCAUCACCUACACAGCACAUGCGUAAGACCACAGCCAUCAACAUUAUGUCUUGUAUGGGGAGAGGGCUUACAAGGUUCUGUUCUAGUUGACUAGUCCAAGGCACAGGGAGAGUAAGGGUUUUGUUUGUUUGUCUGCUUGUUUUGCUUUUUGUUUCUUUGUGUUGUUUUGUUGUUGUUUUUCAGGGAGAGGCCUCUGUAGAGGUUUCUCAUCCAAGAGGUCUAUUCUAAACCUCAGUAUAUAUAAGCAACAUUAGAUGACUCGGUAAGUUAUAUAUGUGCAUGUAUCCCACUAAUAAUCAUAGAAGAAAGGGACAGGAGUUUGAGAGGGGAACACAGAAAGCACAGAUAGAGUUGGAGGGAGCAGGGUGAUAAGAUGAGAAUAUAAUAUACCUGCAUGUGAAAUUUUUCUAAACAAAAAAUUUGUAGUGUGUCAGAAAACCAUGAAUGAAGCUGGAGAGGAGAUUUCUGAGACCCUGAGAAAACUCCAAGUAAACAAGGAAAGAUUCAACAAGAUGGUGAAUUCCAUACACUGGUAGAUUUUUUUUUCAACAUUAAAAAAAUCUCAUUUUGAAUGAAGCAGGGUAUCUACAUUCCAUAUUAUUCUUCAAACAAGUCGAAUAAAAUAUCCCACAGCAUACCAAAGCUAGUCACUCCAUAAAUGAAUAGUUCUCCAUAGCAUGGGUUGCUCUUGGCAUGUGCUUUUGAGCCCCUCCCAGGAGAAGCAGAUAGGACUGUGUUCAGUUUGGAUUAUUCAUUACAACUGGCUAUUAUUUGUUUAGAUGCCUUUGUGGAUAAAUGUGUCCUAGCCACUUGUGGCUUGUCCUUAUGAUUAAAUACUUUACUCAGGUGACUCUUCUUAACCCUCACAGUGUAAAUUGUCCGAUGCUCUGAGUAAAGUCAUCUCCUGAGUACGACCUUUAAUUCACCUCAUUUUUAGGGUCCUCUCAGUUUCAUGCUGCCAUGUUGGAGACUUGAGAGGUAAAUAAUGAUGAAAAGUGAUGAUGAAAAAGAAACAUAAAGAAAAAAGGAAAGGACAAGGUCUUGACUUGUUACAUGAGAAAGUAAGGCUGGGUAGCACUUCUGUGUACCAGAGUGCAUCUUAGCGUCUGCUGGACUGGAGAAGGAAGGAUGUUAAAGACUGUCUCUCAAGCACACACAGCUGCAGGCUUCCUGCUUCCUUACCAUAUUGGGAGAAGUAGGCUCUGCUGAAAGACACAAGAGUUCCAGCCUUGUCUUUGCACAGAAAUCAGGACACUUCCAUUUUGCUUUUGUAUUUGAAAUAUGGGCCACAUUAAUAGUCGAGGGAAAUUUUAUUAAUACCUGUGCAGUCUGUAAAAUUUUAUAAAUAAAAGAGAGAAGACUUGAAAGAGACAAAGUAAAUUAUUGGAAGUGUACCAUGUCCGGUUUAUAGAUACUAAGAGACCUUAUUACAAGCUGGCUUUGCUUAGUAUAACAUGUUUGUUAAUUUUGAUUUAUUUUUAUUCCCAGUACAUCCUUCCACAGUUCCUCAUCCCAUUUCUACUCCCCUCCCCCAUCUCCAAGUGGAUUUCCCCCUCACCCCACCCCAAACCUCCAGGCCUCCUCAUCCUGGUCCUCAAGAGUUAGGUGCCUCUUCUCUCACUGAGGUCAGACCAGGCAGUCCUCUGCUGUGUAUGUGUCGGCAGACCUUGACCAGCUAGUAUAUGCUGGCUGGUUGUUACCUCAGUGCCUGAGAGAUCUCUGGGAUCCAGGUUGGUUGAAACUGCUGUUCUUCCUAUGGGGUUGCCCUCCUCCUCAGCUUCUUCAGCCUUUCCCUAAUUCAACCAUGGGGUCUCCGACUUCAGUCCAUUGGUUGGGUGUAAAUAUCUGCAUCUGUCUCAGUCAGCUGCUUGUUGGGCCUCUCAAAGGACAGACAUAUUGGGCUCCUGUCUGUAAGCACACCAUAGCAUCAGUAGUAUUGUCAGGCCUUGGAGCAUCCCUGGAGAUGGAUCCUAAGUUGAGCCAGUCACUGGACCUUUCCCUCAGUCUCUUCUCCACUUUUGUCCCUGCAGUUAGUCUAGCCAGGAACAAUUCUGAAUCAGGGUUGUGGGUUUUUUGUUUGUUUGGUUUUGGGUUUUUGUUUUGUUGUUUUUGUUUUGUUUUGUUUUGUUUUGUUUUAUUUUGUUGGUGUUCAUGUUAAAUGUCAAUAAGAAAAUAGAGGAUUUUAACCCUGUGGUAGGACCCAAUACCACAAAGUGAAAGUCAUUGAACUUAAACCAAGAUAACCAUCAAGGCAGUCAUUUCUAGAAAAUUCUGUGUUCUGACUGGCAACUCUCCUUAGUUUUCCAUUUAUUUAAUGGUAAAAAAUUACUUUGUUUAUCUUUUCCCCUUGUCAAAGCUUUUUCUUUGAAUUGGAAAAGAAAUCAGUUUCAGGGCCUAAAAUUUUAUACCUGUGCAUUCUGAGAAAAACAAAUUAUCAUUUCAAUUGCAUUUGAGUGAAUAAACAAAAGAAUAAAAUAAUAACUAUGAGUACUAGCUCUCUUCUCUCCCAUAAAACAUUGUUUUCCACUUGAAAACACCAAGCGGAUCUUCUUUAUUUUAAAAAUGUAAACGCACACAAGGAAAAUUCAAAUGAUUAAUGAAAAGCCAUUCAGAAGCAUGCUUAUAAACAAAAUUCUAUUCCCUAGGGACAACAUCCAUUAACUAACUAGCUUUUGCGUAUGCUUUUCUACACACACAUACACACAUACACACAUACACACGCACACACACACACAAUCACUUCAGGUCAGAUGUCCACUUUACACAGCUCAGUGUAAGUUGAAGGAGUCUCGGUUGGGAAAUUUCCUAGAUCAGGUUGGCUCAUGGACCUGUCAGUAAGAGCCCGUGUUGAUUAAUGACUGAUGUGAGUGGGCUCCUCCCAUUGUGGGUGGCACAGUCUAUAGGCCACGCCCUGCGCCUUAUAUGUGUGUGCUGCACUUUCUGGCUGCUAUAGAGUAAAAAAUGAAUGAAAUGAUUGAGAGGAGUUAAUGAAGUCAGACCAGGCACUCCUCUGCUGUGUAUUUUUUUUCUGUGCUGAAUUUUAUGCCUUGUUCUCCUAGGAUGCGAGGAAGGGCUCUAUAAAUUAGCUGCACAGUCUUCUCGUUAUAUUUACUCUCUUCAAAGAAAAUUCCAAAACAAAAAUCUUUUAAUGUUUUUAUAAAGAUGAAAAAUUGUGCAUGUUUAUGAGAUCAUGGAAUAUUUCCAUAUGUGUGUACGUGUGAUGUAAAGUCUAAAUCCGAUUAUACUAAAUAUUUUUAUUUCCACAAGCAUUGCUUUUGUGGUUAAAACACAGACUGUCUGUUUUGUUUUGGAGGUAAAAAUAUGUUUGUGCUUUCAUGUAUGGUAUGUGUGUAUGUGUUCAUGUAUAUAUUCACAUGUGUAUGAAGGUAUGUGCAUGGACUGUAUACACACACACACACACACACACACACACACACACACACACACAUGUACAUACAUAUGGAGAUCAGAGGUUAGUGUCUAGUGGCUUCCAAGUCAUUUUCUACAUUAUUUUUUGAGACAGGUAUGUGAAGGCAAGUGGUGUGUGCUCACAGGUAGAGGAUUUGCCCACUGAUCCUUACUCUCUGUAGGUGCCUGCCAUCAGAACUGGUUUUCCCUCCCCGACCUUUGCAGAGAGCCAGGCAGCAGAAGAGGCUAGCUAUCUGUUGCCUUUCUACUGUACGAUGACUAAUGAGGGAAGACACUUAAAAAACAAACAAACAAACAAACAAACAAACAAACCCCUUCUGUCUGAUCUCUGCAAAUUCGUUGGACAUAGCAUCAGAUUUUUUGACAGCAACAACACAUUUUUUCUAAUGUUCUAUUUUAUUAUGUUUUAAGAUUAUAGCUGUAUAGAAAUACUUUGUUAUCUUCUACCAUAGUUUAAAAUGUCACUUCCCUGCAAUUCGGAAAACAUCUUACUUAGCAGUACCUGUUAAUCCCGCAUUGAUCUCUCUAUUCCUUUUUUACCAUGGCAGAAGAAUGAGGUUUAUUUCUUUAUGUGGUUUCCAGGUGUUUGAAUUCUUUUCUGAGAAGCAGAUUCUAAACAGUGUCACUGGUGGAUUUCAUGUAUGCAUGACUCUUUUAGUCUUGUACAUUGUUGUCCCUGUCUUUUACAAAAGAACCCAACAGCUUUCUCUUUUCAGUGUUUCUGCUGUGAAAGCAAGCUGGUCAUAUGGGUGCAUACAUGACGUUUGGGGCAUUGCAGCGAAGAGGUCUUAGAAAUGAGUUAGCAGCGGUGCUUAGUGACAGAGAGGGAUAAAUAGUCUUUUAAAUGAAAUUCAUAUUUCAAAGGCACAUGUGCCCCUGCCCUCUAGGUACCUGCUUGCUCCCAUUAUUCCCCUUUGCCAUUUGAGAGGUUUGCUUUAUAGAAGAAAGCAGAGAGCCAUUCUUAUUAUUCUAGGCAGCCAGAUUCCUUCAAGCAAGUACUCCUGGGAGACACAAAGACAUUGUUUCUAGUGUUCGUGGGUAAGGCUAUCCAUAGUAACUGUAUGUGAAGGAAGAUUGUAUGUGAUAAAUUCCACACACUACCAUUUCAUAGCAUAGUUUUCUGAGAGUUUAUUGUUCCAUUAUAAAGCGCUUUCUCUCUCUCUCUCUCUCUCUCUCUCUCUCUCUCUCUCUCUCUCUCUCCAUUAGGGACUCCUCCAAACAAAGUAUUUACCUGAUAGUUAUUUUUCAAACUGAAAUGCAUUUAGACAUUUCUACAUGGUAUUAUCUCCAUAACAUUAAUUGUGUAGAUGUGGGAAUAUUGGCUUUGGAUAUUUAUUUGAUGGUGGGUCUCUCUUCUUUGCUAAGGGACCAUUUCUUUUGGGGGGAGAUAUUCAGGGAUGCUGGGUUAUUCUCAUAUGUACAGUCUGGGGCUAGAAGAGGGUAAAUGUGCUUGCUAAUUCUUUUCCACACUAACCUUCUUUUUCUGAGAUUCUGUGUUCUUGGAUGCCAGGGUUCAUCCUCCUUAAGGUAGUGUUUUUUUCUAUCUUUUUACUCAUUAGACUGUAUUUUAUACUUUCAGAAAUAUUGGGUCCAUGAGAUGGCUCAUUCUGGUAGAGGCGCUUGCCACCAAGCCAUGUGACCUGGGUUUGUUGGACCUCUAGGAUCCAUAUUCUGAAAAGAGAGCUGGCAUCUGCAAUUGCAUUUGCACAUGUCACCUGUGGCAUGUAGUGCCCCAUAUGCUAUGUCACAAAACAAUAAGCAAAAAUGGAACUUAAAACUCUAUGAAAAAAGUUAUAGGAUUUGGAGGGUGGGGAAUUAGUGAAGAUUCUCAAAGUUUUAAUAAGUGUGUUAAAAUGUAAGCAUAAAUAUAUUUAUGCCUAGUCUGCUGGUUGCACAGUUGAUACUUUUAGGCUGGGCAAAUGUCAUUAAGCAGCAUAUGACCUAUUUUUCCUUCAGUUAUAAUAGUAAGGGAAUAAAUUUUAUUCACAUUUAAGCAGUUAUCAUUAUAAUGCAUCAUUUCAACUCAUUUAUCACACACUUUUGAACUUUGGGAUGGAGACACUAUUAGCCAGGGGCUUUCCUAUGCAACGAGUAUGUAAAACAAAUGAGGCAAGACUCUGCACACUGCAGCAAAACUGUCCAAUCUGCAGGCAUGAGAUCAUGGGUAGUGUCCUGAGUACCUCCAUCCCCUCUUGUAGAGUAAAACAGUGGAGAUAACACUGUCUGCUUUCACACACACACACACACACACACACACACACACACACACACACACACACACACACAUACAUGCAGGGUUAGGGAUAAGCACAGGCAAAGCAUUCACCACAGCGCUAUGGGACAUGAACUGUCUUCCAGGUGAGCAUCGUCAUCAGCAGCAUUAUCAUCAGUGAUGUACUUAGCAGCCUCAAAUCAUGAACCUUUCUGGGAAGAAUGAGCCCUAAGAUGAACCCUAGAGCUAAGGCAGCCAAGUGACAGUGUAGUAACAAAAGAGCAGAGGGGCAUUCAGUGUAAAUACCACCUAUAUAGCUGUCUCCUGAGAGGCUCUGUCAGAGCCUGACAAAUCCAGAAGUGGGAUGCUGGCAGCCAACCACUGGACUGAGCACAGGGUCCUCAAUGGAGGAGUUAGGGAAAGGACUGAAGGAGCCGAAGGGGUUUGCAGACCCACGGGAAGAACAGGAAUAGUCUUUGGAAAUAUAAUACAAGAUGCAAAAACAAUCAGACAUUGUUUCCUUGAACUACUUAAAUAUGCAGUUGGUUGGAGCCAAUAUAUAUUUCUUAGGAUUUAUAAUUUAUGAAAGUUCAUUCUAUUAGAAAAAAAAUCUAUGAAGUACUCACUAUAUAUCAUCUUAAUGAGGUUUUAAUGGACAAUUUAGUUAUCCUUGAGAACUCAAUGGUAAUUAUGUCUAAUUCUGGAAUGUUCUGGUCACAGAAGUAGAAAAGCUGAUUUUUUUUUUAAAUUCUUUCAUGUCCUUACAAACUAUGUUAAAGUACAAUUUGUAUCUAAUGGUGUCUACCUGCCGUCUGUUUUCAUAUUAGAUAUUUUGUUUAUAUUGGAAUAGGAACAUAAUCAAUGAUGAGCAGGACCUGAUGAAUUCCAGCUGUCCCGUUGAUUUGAAACACUGUCUUCAAAAUCAAAUCUUACGCCGUUCUAAAAUGUACGUGGUAUGGUAUUAUCACUUGCGUAGUCGAGUCUUCUGUGACCCACAGACUAGCCAAUGUUGAAGCAAGUGUACAGGGGAUUAAAUUGGAUGCAGCAGUGUAGAGUUACUUGCCUAAGUUAACUCGUUAAGCAAAGUCUGUCUUUCACAAGAUCUCACUGUUUGUAUACAGAGUUAAGUACCGAAGCAGGAACCAAGUGGCUAGACACCUUUUCAAAGACAAGUCGCUGCCUAGGUAGAUCUAGGCUGUGAAAUAAACCUCAUCUUCUUAUCAGCAUUUUAUAAUCUUAAACUACUGCUCAGUGUGUGUAGCUUUUGCUUGCUUUCACUUCUUAUGCCUAACAGAGAAGACAUUGCUAUGAGACACGACAUAAGCAUUUACUGGCUUUGUGGGCUUCUUGUAGCAUCCUCUGUGACUUGGCUUGAUGCUCCUCAUUUUCUGUCUGCGUUCUACACUUCUUAGAAGCACUUAGUUAAAUGGACACUGAUUUCCUAGGGUAGAUUGGACAAGUCUUUAAUUUGAUGAAUUAUUGAAUUUUAAAAACUUUGGAUUUUGGUCAUUUUAGCGUAUAGCCUACUGAUAAACCCUGAGGUCCCUGGCAUUCAGAUUUGAACAGGCUGGAGCAAAGCUGACUGCUGUUUUUAUGAGAUUGUCUAAUCAACUCUUUGGAAAGGCCCACGUAUUAAAGAACUGAGGCCUCCUGUCUCAGUUUGAACAUGAAAAUAUUUUCAACAGGCUAAUCCUCCAUUGGUAUAGGCUAUUAAAGAAGAACAGGUUCCAUCUUGACUACAUUCUCUUGUAGAUCUUGAGAGGCUACAAAUUUAUCACCCACAGACACUAUGAAAUAACAUUUAUCUUCUAAGACACUGACUUGGAAGAAUAUGUUCCUUGAGCCACAGUUAACUAGCAAGGACUGUCUCUGGAAUGAUUUUAAGUUUCCUGUUGACAAGCACUAUAAAUGUACACGAUAUGUAUUAAAUGCUUUGCAUCUAGUCAUCUAUCUGAAAUGCAAUAUGUGUUUUUUAUCUCCAUUCAGUAUUAUAACUCAGUAUUAGACAUAUAUUAAUGGAUGCUACUGUCAGCCAUAUAAGUCUAAAAUAAAUUAGACAUGAAGAACAUUCAUAAAAUUAGUGUUAUAAUAUACUAUGGUAUUCAAUUCACUUAUGGAAAUGGGACAUUAUGUUUUAACACACACACACACACACACACACACACACACACACACACACACCCCUCAUAUUAUUAUAUUGCAGCUUGAAGAGAUGUCUACUUUCACAAAUUUGGUAGAGUUCCCAAGUACUACCUUUGCCAUCAUUUUAUAUGAUGCACCAAUAGAGAAAGAACAACGGAGGCAGUGAGACUGAGCAGGGAGCCCAUAGCCUUCGUCCUCCAUAGAAAUAAACCAAGGAAAGAUGUCAUCUUCUACAUAAACUGUCAGUUGUCUGGAUGAGUGUCCUGUAGUAUAUUUCUUUUUCAUCUGUUGUCUGGAUGAGCUCUUUAUUAUAUUAUGUAACUGAGACUAGAGCUAUGGGCUGUAAGAGGUGUAACAAUUGCCUUGGGACUUUUGCUUACAAAUUUAAAAUGUUGUUGGCACUGUCACUGGAAGAAUAUGUUCUUAUAAACCCAGUCGCUAUAACCAAAUGAUUGACACGCUGCUAUUGCUGACCUUCAUAACACGAUUUUAUUUUGCUUUCUCGUACUAUGAAAAUGGUUUCUCACGUGGGCGUGAGACAUGAUCUUUGUGCUUCCUCAGAUUGCACAGCUCUGUCCUCAUCACAACUCACAUGUGUUUACACUAUCAUAAGUCAAAAAUACUUCAUAAAUCACCCAAAAAGAAUUCAUAUCCACUGAUAACAUAUUUUAGAUUCCCACAAGCUUCUGCUAAUCAAGGCUAUAGUCUGCCUCAGACAAGUCCAAAAAUCAGACUUCCAGUUCUGCCAUCCCUGUGCACUAUCCAGACCACGUGCAUUUUGUCUUUCCCUAACACUGAAAAUUCCUCUUUUGGUAACACAACAAAAAUAUAUGUACUGGAAAUGUUUCUGUGAAUUUCAGCAUGGGUCCCUCUCUGUGAGCUUUAACUGGAGAUCUAUAUAGCCUUCAAAGCAGGUACUCUAUGGAGGCUGUUCAGUGUGUGUGUGUGUGUGCGUGCACUCAGUUGGGGACACACAUGAUGUAUGGCAUUAAUUGCUCCUAGACUGCGGAAGAAACUGUAUUUGCUAUCACAGGGGACUUGAAGAAAGAGAGUGAUUAGAACUGUCUGGGUGUGAAUUGCUUUUUUUAAAGCACAUUUUUUUUUCAUGUCGAUCUUUCUCCUUUUUAAAAGGAACAUGGGGAGGCAUGCCAUUCUCUAAAUGAAUUAGAAUGGACAGAUUCAAUUUUUUUUACAAUUUGAAAAAUGGAAGGUUAAAUUGAGAAAAUCUCUCUCUCUCUGUGUCUCUCUGUCUCUCUCUCUGUGUGUAUGUGUAUGUGUGUGUGUGUGUGUGUGUGUGUGUGUGCGUGUGCGCACACACACACAAACAUCAUAGUUUGGAUGUUUUCAAAUAUUCAAGGAGACGAGCAAAAAAAUGUUUUAUUCUGAAUUUCAUUGUUUAAAAUGCAUGGGAGCUAAUUUUCUUCACUGUAAGAUUUUAAGUUAUCCAUUUUCAUUUUAGCCCACCCCCCAAAAGGUCUACUUUUUGGAAGCUGUGCUUGUGCUAAUCCCUCAGUUGUGGUUUAGCUUGUUCCUCAGAUUGCCAAAGGUUGCCACUCAUUAGAGAGCGAUUACGUUUUGGGGAAUUCAUUCAUCACCUUGAGCCUCAACUUUAUUGUUUUCAAACGAGGCUUGGCUAAGAUUAUUGGCUACGGUAAUUACUUAUCACACAUUACUGUAAUAUCAUCAUUAUUUAACAAGUAGUUUUGAAAAGAGCUAUUAAUUUAUAUAUUUACAUGUAUGAAUAUUAUGCUUGUAUGUAUGCAUGUAUGUCAUAUAUAUGUUUAUAGAAACCAGAAGAGGGCACUUUAUCCCCUGAAACUACAGUUGAAUGUGUUUGUGAGUUACCAUGUGGGUUCUAGGAUCUGAAUCCAGGCACUCUGCCAGAAUAGCAGUUGCUUCUAAAUACUGAGCUAUCUCUCUAGCCCAGUACAGAGGCUUUUAUUAAUCAUGAUGUAAACUAAAAAUACCCCAGUGGACUCUAGACAUAGAAAAACACAGUCCUGCCUGUGGUCUAUCUUCAAAUUAGCAUUUCUGAUUUUGAUCAGCCAUUUUUAAAACACUUAUUUUCUUUUCAAUCAUCCAUCUCUGCAUGUGUUUGAACCUGGAUAUAUUUGCACAAGGGGCAAGUGUCCUUGGGGGCUCAACACGUGUGUCAGAUAAUAGAAGCUGGAGUUACAGGCACUUGUGAGCCACCCAACUUGGGUGCUAAGAAAUAAAUUUAAUUCCUCUGCUAGAGCAGAACAUGGUCUUUGCUGCUAAGCUACCUUUCCAGUCUCUUUAUUAUUAUUAUUAUUAUUAUUAUUAUUAUUAUUAUUAUUAUAGCUUCUAAGAAGACAGGGAGCAAGAUAACUGAUUUUGAAAAAAACAUGAAAGGAACCUCUUUUUCUUUCCUUUUCUUUUCUUUUCUUUUCUUUUCUUUUCUUUCCUUUCCUUUCCUUUCCUUUCCUUUCCUUUCCUUUUCUUUAUUGCCAUUUCUGCAAUUCAAAAAAUGGAGCAGACACCAAAGGAAGGGCCAUUCAGUGACCGACCCAACUUGGGAUCUAUCCCGUGAGCAGGUGCCAAACCCAGACACUGAUGCCAUGUUGUGCUUGCAGACAGGAGCCUGGCAUGGCUGACCUCUGAGAGGCUCUAUCGGCAACUGACUGGGACAGAUGUAGAUAGUUACAGUCAACCACUGGUCUGAGGUCAGAGACCACUGUAGAAGAGUUAGGGGAAGGACUGAAGGAGCUGAAGGGGACUGCAGCCCCAUAGGAAGACCAUCAGUGUCAAUUACCCCAGAUCCCUGGGAGCUCCCAGAGACUGAGCCACCAACCAAAGAACAUACACAGUCUGGCCCAUGGCCAAAGACACAUAGGUAGUAGAGGACUGCAUAUGCCUAAUUCUGUAAAGACUUGAGGAACCAGGGAAGGGGGGCGCUAGGGGAGGUUAGUGGGGGAUUAAGAGUGUGCAUAUGUGUGGGUGGGUGGAAGAACACUGUCUCAAGGGAAAAAGACAGGUGGGUGGGGUGAAGAGCUCUGGGAGGGGAGAACAAGAAGGGGGACAACAUCUGUAAUAUAAAACAAUAAUUUAAUAAAGAAGAAUUGAAUGAGGUAUUGGAUAUUCCACAAUUUAUGCCCGAGUCACAGAGUAUUGAGGAUUCAAAGCUGAAAACCAUAGGUGGCCUGUUGAUAGUGUUUUGAAAGAGGCUUAUGGUGAGCAUUAGAAGAGUGAGACCCAGAGAAACUGACUAUAUGUAAAAUGAGAUAAUGGGUCAGAUUCUUACGGGUCAAAUGAGGUAGAAGGAUGGGUGGGGUCAGACGGUUUAAAAAUGCAUUCUGAAGCUGUCAUCCUGUGAUAAGUAUCUGAAGUUAGACAAUUACUGGUUCGUACAAGUCUAUUACUUAUCAGAUUAUAUUUUAUAUUUUCUGUGUCAGCUACUACAAAAGCCUAGGAGAUGGUUAGUGUUCUAUCUCCUCCUGCCAGCGUUGACUAUCGUUGCUAUGGUUAUAGACACAGACACACGUGUUAGCAAUACCCUUCUACCCAGAACCCUGCCCCCAACCACUCAUCAUAUGUGAGGAAUGAACUGCCUUAGCCACUUGGUGGAAGCUGGCACUCCCUCUGUCGAGGUCCUUAGUGAGAGGCCAGAUGCUAACACUAUAUUCAGGCAGCUCGAGCUGUUAACCAGAAAGAUUUAUUUCCCACCCUGUAUGAUAUGAAGCAGCUCAGGCACAGGAAGUCAACCCUCCCAGAAAUACACACACACAAUUCAUUUCACUGCCCAGAACUUUAUCAUUUUUAUAUCCUAGGGCUCAAGGAACAUAAAGAUUUGAGUGAAUACCGGCGAGAAAGGAGGGGGGAGGUGUAGACUUAUUCAAAUUCAAGGUUUAUGGUUCUCUCACAAGACACUCCAGCUCUCCUGUUUUUUGGCACAAUGCUCAUCCCAGCCAUUAUUACUAUUUCAUGAUUUCACUUGAGUGAAGGAGGCAGGGGACGACAGUGAUUCGAAGCCCUGGUGUUUCUCACACCCAUCACGUUGAUAAAGGUCCAUUACAUUCUGUGUGAUGUUCAUCCGUAUGAAUUUUUAAUUGUGUAAGUACUAGGAAAAUGUGGUCUGAAGCUAGUUGUAAUUGUUCUUAAGCAUUUUUAAAAUUAAGGAGUAUUAGUUCUUAUGCUUCAGCUCCUGGUUUGUUCUUUUAUGUUGUGUGGUUCACAGUAGUUGUGUCAUAUUUACUAAUUGAUUAUGGUGUAGAGAAUUGAUAAAAUAUAAAUUUGGAUGAAAUAGGAUGAAAUACCUAUGCAUCUAUGUACACACACACACACACACACACACACAUAUGUAAAAAUUACAUUGUUCUGUAAACACUGCUGAAGCCAGACAGGGAGGUGUAAAUUCUAUUACCAUAUAGAUUGGUAGAUGAAACAAAUGUUUGUACAAACCCAGAGACUAUGGAAUACAUUACCCAGACAUUUUCAAUCAGUAACAUUUGUAAUACAGUUUUAUGUUCGGCAGCAUCUUAUUAGAAAUUGAUGGGUACCAAGCCAUGCUGAGAGAAGAGCAACUGAGCAUACAUGAGGGCAAGUGAGUGAUUCAUUAUAGUGUCUGCCUUGGGUGUCUGGAUGCAGGAUGGCUUUCAAGGCUGGAAACGCAUUUGUGUGCUCAUGAAUAUGUGUUUUUCGAAUGACAGUAUGAUGUUUUCCUGCUAUUGAAAACAGAUUUACUCUUCCCCUAAAUUCUUUUAGGGUGAAAAUAUGAAAACAGAUUUAAAAAUAAGAUCUCUGUCCCACUCCCCAUUAGGCAGGGGAGAGUUGCUGGAGCAUCCUGAUGGCUGAUGUACAUCUGGGAGAUUAAUCUGACAACAAUACAUGCACUAGGCUAGAAAAAAACAUGAUGAUGUCAGAGUAGUGAGAGACUGUUACAGAACAAGAGCAGCCCUCAAGGGCAUUGGUCUGUCAGGAAGUCAUAACUUGGGGUGUUGCAAUGUUUGCAGUUGUUUUCAGUUUUUACAAUGCCCAGAGGAUGUUUCUAAUAUUGCAUGGGCUGCAGUCAGUAAAGUUUCCUGUAUUUUAAGAGAUCUACACAUCCAAAGAGUACCAGUGAAGCCCUUGUGCACAUGAUGUGCUAAGGCCUGUGGGAGUUUGAGGGAAUGUCGUCAGAGAGGCAGCACUGUUGGUGUUAAGGAAUGCAGGCAAAACUGCCUUGCUCCUUCUUCUAAGCAUGGGAGACUAACAUGCUACUUGCAAGAUGCAUCUCUAUGUAUAUGCCAUUCCUGUCUCAGAAAGCAUUCUAUCAUAAGGAUGUUCUUUGCUUCACUCAUUAAAAAGAAACAGGAAGGUAAUUCUUGAUGGUAUCAUACAGAAAAGCAUUCUGACCUUUAAAUAGUUGACAAUACCAGAAAAAAAAAAGCACAAGAUAAGAAUUUUGAAUAAAUCCCUUCAAGGGAAAGUAGGAUCCUGGGAGAUGAAUUCACAUAUUCAUUUUUCAGUAGUAAAAUCAAUAUAGGAAAAAAUUUGUGUUCAAAUUCAUCCAUACUUUCAGCCCAAGUUCUUUGCACAUCUUUAAUGAAUUGGGUACUGCUCUGAGAAUGAGGCAUCCAGUAAUGUCUUAAAGGAAAUUACCUCAUAAGAAGAAGACUGAAAAUAAACCAGGUAGUGUAGGGACACUAAAAAUCAGGGUGUGGGGUUGGGAAUUAAAGAGUAUUAAUUUAGAUGGGACAAUUUGGAUAGAAAACAAAGAGCUGAAUCAACGGUGCACCAGCAGAGUGACCAGCAAGAGAAGCUCUAUGUGUGUUUUCCAUAUGAAGAAUAGUAGGGGACCAGAGAUCAAAAGGGAGGCCUGAAGGCAAUGAGGUUGUGUGGACCUGAGUAUCAGAGGUUUUCCACAGCUAUCUCUGGCCCAGCCUGGUGCGAGAGUCCCAGCUAAGGGAAGCAAUUGUGGGCAGGGAGGGAGGCUGCUGCAGUUGGCUCCACCUUGGUCUCUGUCAGGUCUUCCAGGUUUCUCUGUUACUCCAUACUGUCCUGCCCUGAGUUGGGUCAGGCUGGGCCAAUGAGAGGCCAACUAGCCAGUGAGGAGUGCAGCAGGGUUUCAGGCAGCUUAUCAGAGCUGACCUUUUUCCAAGUGUUACAGCUCUUUGGACAGAAGGCUCAGGCUGCCAAGUAGUUCUCCAACACCCUUAACCCUUCCUGAUAGGAUUCUUAUACACAGCUUGGCCUGAGUAAGUGUCUGACAACAGGUACUUCUCAUUGUUUUGGUCUGAGAGCUUUGGGGAAACCUUAUUUGCAUGUGGGAGGGCUUGGUGCAGCUCCUUUGUGACUGAUGGCAACAUACCUCUGUGGUGGACUGUGGGAGGCUGUGGCUAACAGGAGCCAGGACCCAGGAGGCCUGGCCGAACACCUGCUAUCCCAACAGGAAGAAAUCACCACCCACUGGGUCACUGGGGUUCCAGACCUUUGCUCAACCGGGACCUAGCUGUCUUGCAGCCCACUGUGCCACAAGAGUGAAUAGGAGGUAGUCGAAAUACCAAGUGUGGGGGGAACUCUGGAAAUUAGAGAACCAUUUUACUGGGAGUUACUUCAGGAGCUACUAGAAGAUCCUGAGUAUAAAAAUGUGGUCUGAUGAAAGUGUCAGGCACGGAGCUCUGUGCUUUAUGUGUAGGAAAAGAACAAAACCAAAAACCAAAAUCCAACCAAACAAAAAUCUUCCUGCGAUUCGGAAGGAGGGGAAGCUGGAAUCUAGCACUGUAGUCUAUGAGUGAGGACUCGAGUUGACUAAGCUGUGCUAGUGCAGUCAGGGUGGUGAUGAAGGUAGAGCUUAAAUGUAGGGAGAUGGAUGGAAAGUGGGUUGAGCAAGAAGUCAAUGAUCUCUUCAGGUUUAUUCAUUGCUAACACUUUAUGUGGUACCUUAUGUAAUAUCAGCAUUACACACCUCAAGACCUUUUCAGCUAUUUUAAGAUGAUACUAGGCAGUCUUCCCUAAUUCAUAUUUUAGUCUUGUGCUUUAUAUUGUAAAUCAUUCUAGAAUUUGAUUUUUUUCUACAUUUUUUGUACUAACAAUAGUGAACACACAUGAUGGAAUUUCAAACAGUGUAUAAUCGAUAUUUAGUUGAGGUAUGAAGUAUAAAUAAUAGCUAAGAUUGUGAUUCUUAGAAGCAUACUGCCAGGGUUUAAUUACUGGCAGCACCACUAAUGAUCUUCCAUUAAAAGAAACCUAGUUAUUCUCCUAUCUAUAAGUAAAAAAAUGAUAAGAUUGAAUGCUUUAGAGGGACAUUGAGGAGAAUUUAAUGGCUUUACAUGCAAAACAUGCUCUGAACAAUGUUUGUAUAUAAUGAAUUUUUAUUGUGUUAAUAAUUUUAUUAUCUAUUAAUACCAUUGCUAAUAAGAAUAGAUGUAUAGAGACGAAUAAAAAUAGGAAGUUACAGAAGCUAGAAGCUUGAGUAAUACACAAACUAAACAAACAAAAGACGUGUAAUUGAAUAUGAAAUGUGUACAAAAUUAAUGAUACAUGCUAACAGACUAUUCUUGCAUUGCAACAUGCUUUGUAUUUGUUAUCUAUGAGAAGAAACAUAAUUAUAAAUGCACUAGAUCAAUUUUUAAAUUAUUACUUGUAUCAUCCAUCUAUUUUUAUUUGUUUGGUGUCUUUAUUUUCCUUUGCAAUCUUUUCAUAAUUUAAUAUCUAAAUUGAUUUGGCAUAUCUUCUAGAAUAUGUUUCUCAGUGGCAUCUUUAAAUAUUAAAGAUACUAAAUUGAAUAUGUGCAGUAUAUAAAUGUAAUUGUUCACUAGUUUGAGAACAAUGUUUUCAUAUUUUUAAAAAAGUCUUAAACUUAUCUAAAAGUUAUCAGAUGCUAUUAUCUAUAAUUUUUAAAAGUCUUUUUUUCUCACAAAAGAAUAAAGUUAUAAAAAUUGAGCCCAUAAAUAGUGUCUUUCUUUGAAGUAUAGUAACAAGAUUCCAACUGGCUUGGACAUAAGUGUUCAAUAAACAUUUGUAGCUUGAUUAAUGUCUAUUUAUAAAUUUUGUGUGCUAAAUGAAGUGAGAUAGAAAUUCUGAGCAUGCUGUACAAAUCAAACCAAGCAUAAAACAAUGUGGCUUUUGAAGUCUUCUUAUGAUAAGUGGCCUUUAGUUUGACAUUUUGAAGCUGACUUGACAGCAUUAGGGUACUCACAGAUGUUGAUCCUGUGCCUAUUUUGUAAUGUUCAUUGUUAUUUGAGUUCAAAAUUGUGCUUAUAAACGUAUGUGUGAAACAGCUCCUCUUUCUCUGGUUAUUCUUUUUGUUUUGGACUGUUUCAGUGAAGCAUACCCUUUGUUAACUUUGAUUUUUUCCUUGAGUAAAUUCUACAACAUCAAGAAUGUAUAUUACCAACCUACAGUAUCAAGAUUAGUGUUUAAGUGGCAACAUACAGUAUUAUUACCAUAGCAUACUCUAUAUCCUUAAACAGUCAUAUUAACUUUGAUAGUUCAGUUGAAAUCUCUCCUCUCUGUUUAUAAUGACAUCCUGUUCAUUGCAUCUCCUUUGGAAAAAAAAUAUAGAAUACAGUUCCUAAAAUGUUAGAAACAGCAGGUUUGAGGAGAAACAGGAAUGAGAGCUCAUCCCACUGUGUUACACACAUGGCUAUGUCUCUGGUUUCCAUCUUCAGAAUUGCCAUAAUGGCAUAAUUAAGGCAUUUGCAAGGGAGUUGACACUGGGACCAAUUCAUAGCCACUGGGGUUACAGACAUAGCUUGAGAAGAAGGCUCUAUAGAUGUAGCAUGUAGUUGUGUAGAAGCAAGGUGAGACAAUAAUGAUCAGGCUGUGUAGACGAUAGACUGUAGGAAGCCACGGACAAGAAUGUAAGUUGGAGUGGAAGCUAGAUUCUCUGUUCAAAACUGUAGGCAGGAGUGUGAACAGCAUGCCCCUCAUUUCUGGAUUCUUCUGCUUCAUGGUGAGGAAGCUCCUGAUCCAGCCAUCUCUCUUGUGGCGUUCAAGAGUACACACCAUGCCUAGAGAUUAACACAUGAUUACUGCUGGCAGCUCUGGGCACUGUAGCUAGCCAGAAGUUGUAACUUCCUCCAAAGAUAUCAGCUCAAAACUGUUUGUUUCAGUUUCCUGGGCUAAAUUUAAUCUGGUACCUUCUGUGCUCCUAAUAGCAAGCAUUUUCAUAAUUCUUUAUGGAACCCAAUAGAGCUGGCUUUGGAAUCAAAUCAAUCAUUCGCCUUCAGACCAGACCUUCAGUUUUCCACAUUAUCCUGCUUACAGAAAUAUCCGAUUAGCUGGGGGUUGUGUUUGUUUGUUUGUUUCUGUUUUUAUGUUUUGACUGAUUAUGUGAAAUAGUUUAAACAACUAUGGGAGAAAUGAGAUAAUUUCUUCCUUCUGAUGUUUUUUGAUGAUCUCAAUUACUUGUAUUUAAGAACUUAGGAUCGAAUGAAUUAUCUAUUCUUAUUUGGAUGAGAGAAGAAUACAACUGUUACUGCAUUAUGUCAGUAAAAAUUUCAGAUGCACAUCUGAGAGUUUCAUUCUCUAUUUUUAGGGCCUUUUCACUUUCUGAACAUUGGGUGAACAACUCACUGCUUAUUUAGCAGAUUGUACAUUAAAAAAUGUAAAGUACAGAGGCAGGAAUAUCAUACGUUUGGUGAUAAUUACAAGUGUUCAUUUCCUCACUAAGUACUAGGCAUUCCACAUGGUUUCUAUAGCAACCUAUGGUCUGUUAAAUUAAGUGCCUAAUGUGAAUAUAUGAAUAAGUUUUGGUACUUAAGGAAAAAAUUAUCCUCAAACACUGGGAUGGUAUGUGAGUUUAUAGUUGCAGUUAAGCAUAUUAGUUUUAUGUUAAUUCCUAGGUUAUCUUUAGAAAAAUGAUUUUUUAAGUUUUUCAGAUUCUAAAAAAAAAUUGCUACUGCAUGAAGAAUGAAUAUAUUUUAAUGAAUUUCUAAAUGGCCUACUGAACCAGAUUCUCCCAGUCCCUCAGCUACUCUUUGGUUGCAAAUUAUGCAAAUGUACAAGCUGCCUUAACUCUUCCAGGACACUAGGGUACCAUUUGGCAAGCUACUCCCGGGAACAAGUCUAUCCUGGGGCAGGGGAUAGAAAAGAAGAAAGGCCAUUUUACAGAGAUUAAGGCAGGGCUGCUUAAUUUAUCAAACAUCCCUGGAAAGCAGAGGUGACAUUAUGGUAAUUUUUCUGAAAAUAAAAGCAUAGAUACCAUCAGCAGGCUAUAGGAACCUGUGCAGAACUGCAGGCAUGAUCAGUGACAGCAAUGUGUGUGGACUCUGAGAUACAAGCUGAAAUUCCACAUAAAACCUGAAACUGGAAGCCCCAGCUGCCCCUAGGAGAAAUGAGGCAACACUGGACACAUUCCUACUCCCAGCCACACUGUCCCAGGAACAGUGUCAGAGGCAGCAGUUACAAGAAUUUAGCUAGAUUUAUCUUUACUUUUUAUGCCAGGGCAUCUUAGGUUGUCAGCCUUUGAGUAUUAGUGAACUUAAAAAAAAAAAAAUUCAUGCCAAGCCUCUUGGCAUAGGCCUGUCAUCUCAGCUCCUCUGAAGUCUGAUCACAUAUGCAGGAUCUGUAUUGAUGACAGGGUGAAUUCAAGGACAGAAAUUCAAAUUAAUUAUGUUCUCUGUCAGAAUACAAAGUAAAAGAGGCCGGGGAUAGAGCGCAGUUUCCAAUGCUUGCUUCGGAUGCAGGAGACCUCGGGAUUCAAUACACGAUGCUAAAAACACUGUUUAUUAUAUGGUUCAGCUUAAUAUUUGAAAAUACUGUGAUGCAUGGACAUUCAUGAUGGUGUAGCAGAGUUUAGUCAUUUCACUCAAGCCACUAAAAUGCAGUGUUUAGCUAAAUGACCAAGGCAGCCUUCUGGGUUAUUUCAGAUACCCAGAAGGCAUUAGAACUUUUUCUAUCCCUAUCACUGACUGAGUCACAAAUUGGAUGUAUCAGAGAGAAGGCCUGCCUUGUCAUGUCACCUGACUCAGAUACCCAGGGUAGGAUGGAGGUGAUGGUGAAUAAAGAAUAUUGUUCCGUGUCCCUAUCCCUCCUAGAGAUACCACUUAGAAGUUUAAGCAUAUGGCUCCUUCACUUUUCAUCAUAGAUGCAUAUGUUUUUCCCAAUAAAAUAUAGGAAGAAAUGAAGCCAGGCAGUAACACCUUUCCUAUGGAAGGAUUAACAAGUGUCUAUUCUUCAAUAUACUUCUGUUUAGGACUGGACAAAUGCUCAUUAUCUUUAAUGUUAUAUCAAAGUAUACAUCCAGAAGUCUGUUCCUCAUACUACACUGUUUUUUUUAAACAAUGAAGAAUCUUCUAAAAGAAAUAAAGUACAUUUUAAAAAUGUCUUCCUAGAUUUAUUACUUUACUUUAUUACUUUAUGUGUAUGUGUUUGGAUUACACAUAUGUAUGUAUGUAUGUAACUCAUACUUAGGAAUCAGAAGAGGGUAUUAGAUCCUUCUUAAACUGGAGUUGCUGAUUAUUGUGAGCCAUAUUUGAGUACUAAGAACUUAAUCUAUAUUCUCUGAAGAGUAUCAAGUACUUUUAACCAGCCCAGCCAGAAGUUCGUUUGUUUGUUUUUCAAAUCUAUGCAGUUCCUUAAUGUGAGAAAGAAAAUACAGAAGAGUUCAAACAUUUUCCUAAUAUUAAAUAAUUUGCUUAAAUAUUUAAAAACUAAACCAAUUUUUAAAAGUUGUAUUUAUUUUUUUCCCAUUUUUAUUAGGUAUUUAGCUAAUUUACAUUUCCAAUGCUAUACCAAAAGUCACCCAUACCUCCCCUCCCCUACCCACCCACUCUCCCUUUUUGGCCCUGGCGUUCCCCUAUACUGGGGCAUAUAAAGUUUGCAAGUCCAAUGGGCCUCUCUUUGCAGUGAUGACCGACUAGGCCAUCUUUUGAUACAUAUGCAGCUAGAGACAAGAGCUCCAGGGUACUAGUUAGUUCAUAAUGUUGUUCCACCUAUAGGGUUGCAGAUCCCUUUAGCUCCUUGGGUGCUUUCUCUAGUUCCUCCAUUGGGGGCCCUGUGGUCCAUUCAAUAGCUGACUGUGAGCAUCCACUUUUGUGUUUGCUAGGCCCUGGCAUAGUCUCACAAGAGAGAGCUACAUCUGGGUCCUUUCAGCAAAAUCUUGCUAGUGUAUGCAAUCUUAAAGUUAAUAAUCAUCCAUAAUUUGUAUCAGUGAAUUAUCUUUCUAAAACGCUAGGCAGUUUUGUGCAUAUGAAUUUCUGCACUGGAUGCUUUCUAUACAAGUGAAGUGAUGCACAAGUGCUCACUCUGGGUCUAGAUGAUUUCGCCUUGCAUAAUCCUAUCCAGAAACAUCCAUGCAGGUUAGCUGUUUUCCCAACAGUGAGGUAAGGGCUGGGGAGAGAGCUUAGUCAGUGAAAAGUGCUCGCCUGUGAAAACCCAAAGAACUGACAUCAAUCUCUAAGAUCUGCAAAAAAGCUAGGUCCAGAGGCAUGCAUCUGUAGUGUACCUUCCUAUACAGAGAUGGGAUGUGGAGUCUGGGGAAUUCCCUAUAAGGCAUUCUGGAGUACACAUUAGCAGCAGAAGCAAGAGAGACCCAACUUUUGACAGUUGACCUCUGACCUCUAACAAAGAUACAAGCAUGCACCUAUACUAAUAAACACACACACACACACACACACACACACACACACACACACACACACAUUCACACACAGAGUUUUACAAGUGUUAUGAUAUAUGUGCCAAUUUAUUCUACUAUAUUUUUUAUUUCUCUCUAUAUUAUAACAUUAUCUAAACCUCAACUAUAGAUACAAUUUAUUUUUUAAAAGAAAUGUAUCAACCGUAAAGUAAGAUUUUAUUAAUGGAGUGGUUAAUAAGUCCUUACUCUUUAAAUGCUUUUGCAUAAGGAUAUUGAAAUAUACACAUCAUACUAUACUUGAGAAGUGUACUGCUAGAAUGGAAAUUAUAUCAGAAUCAUGUGCAGGUUGAGUACCUGAAAUUAUGUGGUCCUUGCUUUUAUAUGCAAGAAGGAUAUUGGUAAUUUUAUGAAUCAGCCUACACAGUAAUUUCUCUGCUUUAAAUGUUGUCAUGUCUUAAACUAUGCGAAUCAGUCUUGAUAACAAAUCAAAAGAAAUUAAUAAUAAUCUGUACUCCAGGCAGAUCUGGAAGUCAGUUCUUAGCCCAGUAUCACUUCAACUUUAUACUCACUCUCCCAGUUAACCCUGCCAAAUGCUGGAAUUACAGACAUUUCUAACUAUGCAAAACAAUAUAUACUGGGGACCACAGCAAAUAAAAGUAGGCAGAUACGACAACAUUUUCAAAAAGAGGUCAUAUUUUAAAUGUAAUAUUUUUAUCUUUAAUUGAUGAUAAUUAGCAUAUUCUCAAACACACAAAAUAUAUGUGGGAAUCUAUAAAACAAGGAAAUCGUGGUGGUGUGGCAUUUUAGAGUUGGACUCUCCUUUUCUUUUUCAUUAUCUUACGAACAUUCUCGCUGAAUAGUAAUUUCAUUUUGUCGUAGAUGUUUUUAUUCCUAGUUACCACUUAGAAGAUCCACUGUUGCAAUGACAAUUGAACUUUUUAAGACAAUGGAUAAAAAGAAAGGCAAUAAUAAAAACACAUGGAAAGUUCUAAAUGAUGUUUCUAUAUAUAAUUCUAGAAAAUAUUUGAGAAAAUAUUUUGCCUUCUACGUGAAGGAAAUACUUGUAUAAAAUCAUAAAUGUAAUUGAAAUUGGGAAACCUUCACAUAAAAUUUUCUCCUAAAUGUUUAUGUCAAUUUUUUGUUAACAUGUGCUCACCACACAAAAUAAUGGGUUUUACUGUACAUGAGUGUUUAAAGAUAUAUUCCAUGUUUUGUAACAAUAGCAGUAUUUUAUUAGAUUCUAAAUAUAUAAUUCAGAAGACUUGCCUUCAUAAACAAUGUUAAGAAUAUCCUUUGGGAAUUCUUGAUCCUUUGAGACUUGUUAUUUCUUUGGUUUAUGAUAAAGAUUUUUAACGUGAACUAAAGGAUGUUUUCUCAUAGUCAUUUAUCAAGGGCUCUUGUAAUCCAGAAUUAUAUAUAUAAAUCGUGGAACCAUUCCACCUUCUCAGGAAAAGCACUGUGAGGUAGGGACACUUAUUUCCAUUUAGAAGAAGCUCAGAAAAAUUAAACUUGUUAAAGUUACGACAUUAAUGGGUAAAUGAAUUGAAUUCCAAAGUCAAUAGUUUAGUCUUUUGAUUGGAAUUUAUUACCACAGAAAAAUAUGGAUGUAAAUAUUCAUAAGUAUACUGGGAUGAGUGAAUUGCUUCAACUAUGUAAAUGGCUAAAUUUCAGAGAUUAUGGGCAAUAUAGCAACUAAUGAUUGUGGGGAAUUGUAGGCUGGUCUCCAGUUGAACUGAGGUCUGAACCCCGAUGGUCAUAAUUCACCUACGUGACCUACAUAGGCGUCUGCUCAUGCUCCUGGAACUCUUGCCCUUGCUUAAGUUACCGCCCAGCACAGCCCCCUCAAGAGAAGCAUGGUUAGUAGUCAUGUAGACAAUGGCCCAAGCUUCUGACCUUCAGGCUAAACUCCUCCCCAGUUACCUAGCAACAGUAAAGACCAUUAAAAGGGCUGUUCAGCCCCCACCUCCCUCUCUUACUCAUAUGCUCUUACUUUUAUUUUUUGUUUGUUUCAAAUGUUGGUUUCCCCUGUAAGAUAGAUUUUUUUUAAUUAGAUAUUUUCUUUAUUUACAUUUCAAAUGUUAUCCUGAAAGUUCCCUACACCCUCCCCCGACCCUGCUCCCCUACCCACCCUCCCACUUCUUGGCCCUGGCAUUCCCCUGUCCUGGGGCAUAUAAAGUUUGCAAGACCAAGGGGCCUCUCUUCCCAAUGAUGGACGACUAGGCCAUCUUCUGCUACAUAUGCAGCUAGAGACACGAGCUCUGGGGGUACUGGUUAGUUCAUAUUGUUGUUCCUCCUAUAGGGUUGCAGACCCCUUCAGCUCCUUGGGUACUUUCUCUAGCUCCUCCAUUGGGGGCCCUGUGUUCCAUCCUAUAGAUGACUGUGAGCAUCCACUUCUGUAUUUGCCAGGCACUGGCAUAGCCUCACACGAGACAGCUAUAUCAGGGUCCUUUCAGCAAAAUCUUGCUGGCAUGCAAUAGUGCCUGCAUUUGGUGGCUGAUUAUGGGAUGGAUUCCCAGGUGGGGUAGACUCUGGAUGGUCCAUCCUUUCCUCUUAGCUCCAAACUUUGUAACUCCUUCCAUAGCUCUUACUUCUUACCCCUCACUCUCUCCCCUCUCUCCUCUCUGUGUUCUCUCUCUCACUCCUUUGUUCUCUUACCUCUCACUUCUCUCUCAUCUCUCUUCUCUUCCCUUUCUCUUUGUCAUCUCCUCUCUCUUUCUCUCUAGCCUCCCCCCUUCCUUCUCUUCCCCCACCCCUGCAUUUCGUUAAUAAAGCUCUUAAACCAUAGAAAGUCUCUGCUCCAUCAAGAUCCACUGCACACCGGACAUGGGCUAUUCCCCCACCCUUUCUUCCCCAGGGCUUUCCUCAGGGCCCCCCUUUUGUUCCCAACAAAUGAUAGAAUUUGAUAUAUCCAGUGAUUUUUUAAGAGGUAACAUUGACUUCUGAAACUGCAUUUAAAGUUGAAACUGUUUUUUACUGUGUUGAGAGGAAACACUCCAAAGAUAUGGAAAUUGCAGAAUUUUAUUAAAACACAUAGACAAAGGAAAAAGAAAAGACACAACAAGGAAAUUCUUGCCACUUAUUUUAGAUAUUUAAAAUUUAUUGUGAACAAUUUCCUGUAUUAAUCAGAAUACAAUACUUCUCAAGCUUUGUACAAUUUAUAGGAGAAAGUUGGCAUUGAAAAUGUCCUUGUAUUUUAUAGCUAAUUGGAUUUCAGUCUAUUGUGCUUCCAGAAACCAUGCUAAAUAUUGACUCACACAAAUAAUCUCUACUUACCUAAAUUUAGUACUCUUGUUUUAAAUGUUUUGCAUAUAUUUGACAACUUUCUGUGUUCUAUUAGGAGAAUAUUGGGUGCCUGCGCUAAUUCCAAAGAACAUGGUUAUUUUUCAGUUGUGUUGGAAAGAGUCAUGAUUUUUAAAUCUAUUUCAUUAUUUGAUUCCUGUCAUAGAAAACUUUUAAUUUAAUUGACAUUUUAAUUAAUAAGUAAGGAGUUCUCAGAGAUACUACUUGACACAAAACAACUGUUUUGAUACUGUGCCGCUGCUUGUCAUUUUAUUUGUGUAUUAGAGCAUGACACACAAGUUUUCUUGUCUAUAUGGAACACCUAAGGAAUUAGCCAUUAAUUGAAAAAAUACCGGCAUCUCUUAGGACAAAAAGUAGUAUUUCAGCCUAAUUAAAUGUAUUAAUUAAAAAUAGAAUCUUUAGAUGGCUUUCAUGUAUUACCAAACUCACAAUACAGUCCUAUUCCAGGAAUUGUUGGUUACUUCUCCUUAUUUUUUGUUUGAAUAUAAAAGAAUAAACCAUCGAAAUUUAUCUUCUGGAAUCUUCUAGGAUCAAUAAAGAUAUUUUUUUUCCACUAUUGACAUUAAAGACUGAAUGUUCAAGCAAUGUGUUUAUUAUUCUUGAUAUGUUUUCUUUGUUACACACUCAAGAGUGGACACAUUUUCCAUGUAGAAUCGUAACAGUACACUUAGCCAGCAUGACCUAGAGAUCUUUCUUCUUUACCAGCAACUCUCUCAGGUGCUAAGCCUUCUUCAUGCUCUGAACUGAUGGAUUCUAGAGUGGAGCCAUUUAAUGGGACUCAAUCUAAAUUUUUGAAAUUAGAAGUAUUUCAGAUUCCUGGGUUCUUGGAUUUGGAGAUAUUGGUAUGGAAUUUCAAACAUCGAUUGUCCCCUAGGGUGAAAAUCAGCCAUUUUCCAAAAUCAGAAAUGACCUAGAAUCUGUAAACUUAUGCGGGCGAAUGAUGCUCAAUAUUUUUAGCUUCCCUUCAGAAAAUAGAAAUACUAAAUUCUUGAGUUUUCCAAUAGAUACUGUCUGUGUGUCUCAAAUGAGCCUUGUGUUCUAUAAAUAUCAACAAUGAAUAUAUGCUAACCAAACAUAGUAGAAAGGUUCAAAUUGUAAUGUUUUAUGGUUCAGACUUUGAUAUGUGAGAAGAUAAGCUUGGGUUGUCUCGAGUUUUCACCAUUUCUGUAUGCUAAUUGUUUUGACAUCAUAUUUGAAAGCAACGUGAAAUCAGUUAAGAGUCAUAAUACUACAUUAUAGCCAUAGAGCAUUAUUUCUAAUGAUAUCAUGUGAAUUUCAUUUAUUCUUCAUUUACAAUCAUUAUCUGAGUAGACUCUUAUUUUGAACAUUCUGUCUUACAAGUUUAGAAGACCGUCCUUAAACAUCUAAAUGUUCAUGCCACCCUCAUUUUCAAAUAACAUGGGCCACACAGACACGGUUCUACACUCAGAAACAAGGCUAAUAAGAAGUUGCCUCGAGGCAACAGAACAUGCUGGAGGCCUAUAAAAGACCUUGUGCAGAAAUGCUCACCCUGUAUGCCACAGGGUAUUGCAAAUGGGACUGGGGCCCAGAAAGGAAUAGAAUGGAAAAUUUAUAGGUAAGGGAGUGUCCCUAGAGGAGAGUACAUUGAUAAAAUGAGAUUACACCAUAAAUUUCCAAAUCCUGAUAUGAGAGACAGAGGCUCCAGAAUCAUUCUUACAUCACACUCCAUGCUUGAAUAGAUAAGACUUUUGUUCUUGGCAUUAAAAAUGCCAUGGAAGGAAAGGGAAGACAACUGCAGUUGUCAUGUGUAGUGUAGGAACACAAUGAUACCUCUAGAAAGCUACUCACAGACCCACAGCAGAGAUACCUGAGGUACAGACAUGGGAAGGAACAGUUCAGCAGUGAAGGCAUACAUAACUGCUUUUCAGAGAACAGAGGAGUAAAACAAAACAUUUUAAUAUUUAGUUUUUACAAUUAAAAAUAAUAUUUGAUAUCUGGGAAUUUUGCCUACAUGUUUAUCUAAGAACAAUUGUGAUGCUUUUGAGGGUCAGAAUAGGGUAUUAGGUCCCCUGGCACCAGAGUUACAGAAUGUUAUUAAUCACAAUGCUGGGAAUCAAACCCAUGUCUUCUGAAGAACAGCCAGUGGUCUUUACUCCUGAGUCAUCUCUUUAACCCCUGAUGGUAAUUCUCUUGAUUAAAAAUUGAAAAUUUCCACCUUUUAAGUCAAGUCUUUUUAAGCAUGGGUCUAUACUAUAUUUAUUCAACAUCUCCCCUUUAAGACUCCUUAUACAGAAGAGAUCAUAGAUUAUUUCUGCUUGUUAUUGUUUAUUUACUUGGCAGGUGUGACCUAUUUAUUCUUGUUUUCUCUAGUGGAAAUUAGAAUGCAUCUUCUAUAGAUUAAAUUACAGGGCAAGGACUUGGGUUAAUCAUACUGUAGAACACACUUGGCAUUGAAGAUAAAUCUGAGGUACUUUCAGCAAAUAGGAAAGAAUCAUUUUGAAGAGUGAUGGAUAUCUUUAUUUGUGCUGAUAAGUUAAACACUUAUAUUUACAUAUAAUACCUUAUUAGACUAUAUAUAUAUAAUAUAUGCAUAUAUUAUAUACAUAAAUAAUAAAAAUAGACAAGCAUAGACAAGCUGAAUAUGGCCCAGCACACAUGAGGCAGGAUCAGAAGGAUUAAGUUUUGUUCUAUUCUGGAUUACAGAGUAUGAUCCUGUCAUACACAAAUAAACACACACACGUUAAAGGGAAAGCAAAAUGAACUUAGCAGUCAGUUUUCUCAAAUCCAAGAAUCCUGAGGUAACCUGGGAAUUCUAUGCCAAAAUAUGUUGAACCAUCUGAAAUUACUAAUAUUUACUUUCUUUUAACUUACAGAUUUUUCAGUUAAUAUAUCAAGUGUAACAUAUUUAUCUUGGUAAGUUAACUUCAUUACAGUUAAAAAAAAUAUGGCGAUUUCUCCUUGGUAAAGGGCCAGUGGCAGCCCAGUCAUUAAAACGUUUUAUUCACCUUAUCUGAGAUUCUGUAAGUUUUCCUUUAUAUCUGCAUCAGCAAACAUCACAGAUCCUAAAGUGAUUCACCUUCUGCAACUGCUUGUUAAUGCACCCAGCUGCCUAACCUCGGCACAUUUUCACUGUUUAAACGAUGUGGGUAGUCCCUUCUUCUUGUUGAUGGUUUUGUUCUGCUUUUACAUAAUCCGUAGUUCACAUUACAUCCCAGUUGUAGCCUUGCUUAUUUCUAUCCCCUGCUCUUCCAUAGGACUCCCCGAGCUCUACCUAAUGUUUGGCUGUGGGUCUCUGCAUCUGUUUCCAUCCACUGCUGGAUGAAGCCUCUCAGAAGACAGUUUAUGCUAGGUUCCUGUCUUCAAGCAUAGUAGUGUAUCAUUCAUAGUGUCAGGGGUUGGCUUGCUCCCAUGGAAUGGGUCUCAAGUUGGGCCAGUCCUCAGUUGGCCAUUCCAACCAGAAGUCUCUGCUUCGUCUUUAUCUCUGCACAUCUUGUAGGCAGGACAAAUUGAGGGUUUCCUGGGUGGAUCCAUGUCCCCCACCUUCCACUGGAUGUCCUGCCUAGCUACUAGAGGUGGUCACUUCAGUCUCUUUAUCCCCUGCUCAUUCCUUGUCUUAACCUCAGAAAUUUAGGAAAUGGCCACUUUACUCAUGCUGUUUUAGAAACAUGUGUAAGGACCUGUAAGCAUAGUGAAGUCCCUGCUUGAUUCAGGGGUAUUUCACAUCCUCUUUUAUUUGAUAAGAAGAAAAUGAAGUGGUUUAUUAACAUCAUAAGUCAGUUCUGCUAUGCCGGUAUGCCCACUCUCUCACAGGGAUGCAGCUAUGGAAUACAGAUGCACAUUCCUCUUACUAAUAUUACUGCACUCUUGCGUUUUAGUACACAAGGAAAAAAAAAUCGAGGCUGCCACUCAGGAAAUUACAUGAUUUAAAAGCAUAGCCCUACACUUCCUACAAUACACCUGAGAAAACCGUUGUUUUUUUCCUCAUUAAAUUUACAGUAUACAUUUCAACUUCCCCUAAAACAGGUGAGGAAAUUCAAUACUACUACAUUUUGGACCCUCAAGACUGAGGAAGAUCCUGGCAGCAGUUCAAAAAUAAUGACAUAACAAAGAAAAGAAAAAAAAAUAGAUGUUGAUUUUUUCCAUGGAUGUUGAAGACUUUAAUCAUUGACCAAACAGAGAUUUGGGGCCUAUUUGACAAUCAUGUCUACUUGGAAAGCCAUAUUGAGUAUUUCUGUUCAGUCAGCUACAAAGCACUGGUUACAGAGGAAUUUAUUGGGGGGGGGGGAGAGGGGUUACCAAAACAAGAUGCUGCUGUGAUUUACUGAUAUACAAGGCUGAUGCUGAAUUAAGCUUUAAUUCAGCUGUAGUUAGAGACCAGGUCUUUAUUAUCUUUUCAUAAACACAAGUACACAUACAUGCUCCCAGACACCCCUAAUUUUAUGUAAUUAAUUGGGCUCCUGGUUGGGGACUUUAAAUCGUUUGUGGUGUGGUUAAGUCAGACAUCAAAGACGGUGAGUAUGGCAGAGGAGUAGCUUGAGAGCAGUGUUUAUAACUUAUUAAUUAUAGAGUCUAAGGAUAUGUUACUGCUUGGUUAUUAAAUGAUAAUAGUAAUCUGAGCCAAUUUGAUUAUUCAAAUAUUUGUGCUUCCUGCAUGAAAGCUCUACUGUUGUAGAAAGAGAUUUUCUGAAUUCAUUAUUACCUGUAUGCAGUGGAGUUUUUGUUAUCUGUCUUUUUUUUUUUUUUUUUUUACUAAUUUUAGUACUGUGCACUUUAUUUCCUUUUAGCAGAUAUCUUAAGUUUUGCCUUUUGCAGGAAGGAUAGAUCUCACAGAGACUUUUGAGAUUUCUUUUGAGUAUCAUUUCUGUGAUCCUACCUUCCAUUUGUCUACUUUCCUAGCACGUUCUAUAAGUUUAUAUUCCCAAGGAUGUAUUUUUUCUUCAUAUACUUGAAAAUCCUCUGAUUAUACCAUGUACAACAUCAUGUAACAUCAAGAUUUCUUCCAGAAAGUCACAGAGUGAACUAAAUUCUGAGGACUAGGGCUCAAGCGAUCUGUUGCAACCAUGAAUCAUCUCUAGCAUCCAGGUAUCUUCAAUCUUGAUUCCUUAAUAGUUUUAUAAUAGUGUGGCAUUAAACUGUUCUCAAGCCAAGAACAACAGAGAGGAUGCAAUGAGCAAUGAGAUGCCCACUCAUUCAAUGUGUAUGAUACAUGAUGAUGAUGCCUUCUAGUUGGCAUCGAGGACAACACAAUGGACAGCAUAUACCUCAAGCUUAGAUAGUUCACAGUCUAAUGCUAUUCAUUUAUUUCUAUUUCAGUAUACAAUAGUAAUAGAAUAACAGAAUCCAUUGAAAGAAGUUACUCCUAAUGAGACGUUGUAUAUGAUAUUAAUCUUUUGUUCCAUUGAUACACAUUUCAAGUUUUAUUUUAACCUUACAAAUCAAAAGGCAUAAGUUAUCCUGCCCUAUUAUUUGUGUCUCAUUAUCCUGUGAAGUUCUUGGAAUGUCUUUGAUUCACCAAGUACAACUCAGCCUGCCAGAGGAGGGGCUGUAUUUCUUUUUGAUUUAUCCAACAACAGAGUGGAAUCAGGAGCAUUAUACCUAUCUACUAUUGCAGAUUUUAUAUUGUAAUAUUACUUAAAAAUGAUUUUUCUUAUAAGCUUAUUGUAUACUCUGGCAGAAAAAGAGGGGGCUUGCUUAUAUUAAUUUUUUUUCUGGGCCAUGUUUUACAUGUUAAAAGAUUUUGGCCUACACAUUCCAAACUAAAUGUUAUAAUAGCUAUUCCUUUUGAUAAUGAUGAUCUUUUUUUGCAGUAGUUUUAAUUUACUCACUAAGAAGUUACUUAAUGUCUUACUUAAUUGUCAUUGGCCUCUUUUCAUGAAUCAUUUAACCAGAAUAUACUGAAAUGAAGGCCUUGUUCAAGUAUGAUGAGAGAUACAUUUUUGAGUGCAGGCUGUAGUCAUAGUAUCUUUUCUCCUGGUGCCUAUGUCUUUUAACUUGCCUCAUCUAGCUUUGGUCAAUGUCGAAGUUACCUGCUUGAGUUAUGUAAGUGCCUCCUCUGGGUGGCUUCUAGGGGUACAUUGGUGCAGUAACCAGGAUAUUCAGAGAACAUAACCAUUCAUCCAGUAUGUAAAUAGUUUGCUUGUGUGUAUUUCUGUAUAUGCUGGUACACGUGCACAUGUAUAUAUUUGUGGAAUCCAGAGGCCAACUUCAAGGAUCAUUUCUGACAUUAUUAAUUGAGACAGGUGCUCUCUGUGACAUGGGGCUUGCCAAGUAAGAUAGACUGUUUGGCCACUGAGCCCCAAAUCUGCCUUUCUCUAUCUUCCCAGCACUGAGACUACAAGUGUACAUUGCAUCAUGCCUCUCUCUUAUUCAUGGAUUCUGUGGUUCAAAUUUAGGUCUUCAAGUUUGCCAGGCAAGCACUUUCCUGACUGGGGUAAACUUCAGCAUUGUGUAUUAAGAUUAUUGUAUUCGAAUUAUGCUGUAUUGUGUAUGGUGUGUUAGGGAAGAAGACUUAUUCACUCUUGUGCUGGACAGGAUUGCUCUGGACUGUCUUCCUUGAAGAUCAGCAUAAAUGUGAAUCAUGAUUAUUUGUUGUUUGAGGAAACAGCAAACAUCAUGAUGAGAAGUGUCUGUAGAUGCCACUUCACUGUGGUCAAGAGAGGGAUUCAUUUGAUGUUGCAUUUCAGUGAGGUACAGCUAGAAAUUUUUAGAGUUGUAAAUGUACACUUAACCUUCUUCAUGGUUGAAAGAAAAAGAGAGUGAAGUACAAAAGACUGAGAGUGAGAAGGCUGUAACUCAUGAGCCAAUAUAGUGCUGUACAAACUUUGACUUGUUUCCUAUAUUUUACUCUUCCUAUGGGGGGGGGGGAUGUUUCAAAAGCAUUUUUUCAAACACCUGUUUUUGGACAGUGGCCAUAAGCCUGGAGAUGUUGUGGAGUUGUAGAAACUAAACAUUAAUUAACAUGUAAUCCUUAUGUGCUCUUACUUUACUAACAAACUAAUGGAUUCAUAGCAAUAGUCAUAUUGAUACCUAUAAGAAGGUCACUUAUUCUUGUCCUUGUAACGUUUCGCCAGCAAAACAGACUUGGACAGCCAGAUCCUUCUAUGGCAAAGCUUUAUUGCUUACAUCUCAGGAAGACUUCGAAUACAGGAAACUCAGUCCUUUUAAAACCCACAAGAGUGGUUGGAGACGUGACUCACCCUGACUGGCUGCUCACUAUCAGCCCAGAUGACGCGCCACGGGACAGGCAGGGAACAAGGAAUGGAGAAAUACCCCAGCACAUACGCAGACUAAUUGUUUAUCAGUUAGAACACCGGAUAUGAUUGCAAGGGCGGCUCCUUACAACUUAUGAUUAACAAUGAAUGUAGUAAUAAUGAUUGGGAAAACUCCAAAAAAAAAAAAAAGCUCUGUUUUCAAGUGACUUGAUUUGGUUGAAUACUGAGGAUCAAAAAUCAGAUUUCUCAUAGUUUCAGCAGCUGAUCUCAAUGUAGGAGAAUCUACGCAGAUAAUCGCUUGGAAAAGUCAUUAAGAUAGGCUGUUAAACACUUCAGACUCAUCAAUGUACAAAUAUGCUGUAUGUUUUACACAUUUACAUUGAAAGGGUCUAUAAUCCUUUUGAGUCAAAUUGACUGUAAAACGAUUGUGAUUUUCAGUCUAUCCUAUUUUAUAACUUUUUUUGGGAAACAUGAUUUUAUCAAGGACUUAGAAUAUUUGGUCAUUAUACAUAAACAAAUAUACACAUACACAUAUACAUACAUAUACACAUGCACAAAGACAUUCCCUUAGUGUUUAUACUGACUUUGAAAAUACUGAAGUCAAUUUCUACUGCCUUUUCAUGUGAGACCUUAAUCCUUCCAGAUUUAAGUUAUUUUUCCACAUUUCAUUAUUGAUUCAGUUUGCUAAUUCUCAAAUAUUUUCCUAGGCCUUUUCAUCAGUGUUUUUGCUGCUGGGAUUGUUUACCAGACUCUUGUAUUUUAAAACACCUUUAAACAACGCAGAGCAUCUUAAAACUUGUCUUUAAUUAACACAGCUCUUUGGUUGCCUUCGCCUCCCUGAACCCAAUUGCACACGUGGCAAUUAGCUAUGUGGAAUGCUUUAUCAAAUGCCCAAUGGGCCGUACCCAUUGUAAAUUUCUAGGGAGUAGGGAAUGAAUUUUUGACUCAGUUGCCAUUUAUUAUUAUAAUUUUUUCUACUUCAGUUACAUACAGCAGAAUAUAAUGAGCCAGUGAUACAUACAGUGAGAAUACUAAAAGUAUGUUUGCUAAUGAUGUGUGGAGUAGAAGCGAGGCUGGAAAUCUGUGCUUAGAAAGGGUAGAGAUCCUCACUCUCACCAUUGGACUAAGGUCAGGGAUCCCUUUGGAAGAGCUGGGGGGAGGAUUAGAGGAGCUGAAUGGAACGGCAACCCCUUAGGAAGAGCAAUGUUGCCAACUAAUCCAGGCCCUUGGAAGCUCCCAGAGACUAAGCCACCAACCAAAGAGCAUACAUACAUGGGAUGGUCUGAGUCCCCAGCGUGUAUGUAGCAGAGAACUGCCUUGUUUGGCCUUGGUAGGAAAGGAUGUGCCUAAUCCUGUAGAAACUUGAUGCACCAGGGAAGGGGGAUAUCUGUGGGGGUGGAGGAGCACCCUCUUAAAGGUAAAGGGGGAAUAGGGUGGAGAACUCUGGUAUAGGGCCUAGGAAGAAGGCAACAUAUAAAGUAAUCAAAAAAAAAAAAAAAAAAAAAGAUGGUGUCUAAAGUGAACAUGGAAGCUCCUGUCCAUACUAAAGCCAAAGCCAAAGCCAACGAGAAGGCCUUGAAAGCUAAGAAGGCAGUGCUGAAAGGCCACAAAAAGAAGAUCCGAACUUCACCCUCCUUCCAGUGGCCCAAGACCCUGUAGCUCUGGAGGCAGCCAAAAUAUCCUCGAAAGAGUGCUCCCGGGAGAAACAAGAUUGACCACUCUGUCUUCUUUAUGGCUGACUCGGGGUCAGUAGGAAUUUGAUGAUAGCAGAGGACAACAACAUACUUGUGUUCAUUGUGGAUGUCAAGGCCAACAAUCAAGCAGGCCAUGAAGAAACUCUAUGACAUUGAUAUGGCCAAAGUGAAUAUACCAAUAAGGCCUAAUGUAGAGAAGACAGUAAAUGCUCACUUGUCUCUUGAUUAUGGUGCUCCAGAUGUUGCCAACAAGAUUUGGAUCAUUUAAACUGAGUCCAUAUAGCUAACUCUAGAUAUACACUUUUUUUCAACAUAAAAAAAGGUUAGAUAUCCUAGGCUACAUGUAGUAGCAGGAGAUGUUUGGAAUUUGGGCAUCUAAUUUCAGGGAGAAUCUGAUCACUUUUUUCCCCCCCUAUUUUCUAACUUUGCCUCCACCAGGUCAUGGUACUGCUGGAGAAGUAGAAACUUUCAAAUUCAGUAGGAAGAGGACAAUAACCACAAUUUUGUAGAUUGAUAUGGGUAAGGCAAAAACAGCAGGUCUUCUACUCUACGUUCUGGAAUUUAGCAUUUCUUAACUGUCAUUGCCCACAUAUGAGGAUAUUGUUGCUUUCUCAAAAUUAAGCAGCAAGGAAACUAAAAGCACUUAAACAAAUGCUAAAUAAACCAUAAGCAUUCAGUGGCAUUAUCAUCUCUAAUUGACAGUUGUAGCAUUGUGAUUCAGGAAGGUCUAAAUGAAUCUGAAUCUGUCCAAGGUCACACCAUUAGGGAUGGGUUGAGGUAAGAUUCCUGCUGUUCCAUAUUAAAUCUACACAGUCACAUUGUCUCCUUACUAGUAUUAAACUUUUCCUUAUAACAUUAUACACAUCUCCCCAAUAUCUAAAACCAAUCACUAGAAAAUCCUAAUUUUAUUCCUCCACAUAUUACAAACUCAGUUCUUAGUAUUUCCCCUAAAACAAUUCAUAUGCUGCUUUAUACACUCCUGUUGUCUUUUAUAGAGCAGUAAUAGGAGAUACAGUUCAGAGAUGGUUGAAAUAUAGUAUAGAGUGGUUAAAUAUAUUCACUCCGUUGAUGAAAUUACAGUAACUUCUGAGUUCUAAAUCUCUGUCUAAGUCUAGAGACUGUCUUCUGUUUUAUUUUCCUAAUCUUGAGACCAAGAAAAUACUAUCAGUGUUCUUUCUACCACCACAGCAAGAGACAUUUUAAUAAUUAAACACAUAUUUGUACAAGCAUAUAUAACCAAUGUGCAGUGAAAGCAAGACACUUCUCAAAUGAAGGUGGAAUUUGCCCUCAGUUUGAGUAUUUCAGAACCCUAUUAUGAAUCCUGUCAGAAGUCCACGAUACAUAUCCAAAAUGCCUUAAUUGUAUAUCUAAAGACAACAGGUUGAAUGCAUCCCCAGGAUUAUAGUGUAUAGAUGAUAAAUCCAAGCCUGUAAUAAGGGUAAGUUCAAUUAACUAUUAAUUUUAUCACUUUGGGGACAUUCAAUAAAUAGAGGUAAAUGAAUGAUUGUCUUCAGGCUGCAAAUUUGAAAGUGAAACUUGUGCACUAUUUUCUCCCUUUCUGUUUUCAGAAGCAAUGAAGGCAUGAGAAAUUGACAAAUCAAUCAUAAGUCAAGCUAGUGCACCAAAAAAUAUGUAGUCUGAAACACAGAGAAGACAAGGCACCUGUAAUAAAUACACACAAUUUCACAGACUCUGACACUUGGCAAUAAAAUAUUUAACCAAACAUGUGAGAAAAAGAAUAAAAAGAAAAUACCCAGACGCUAGUAAAAAGUAAAUGUUGUGUCCAUCUCUGACAGAACUGAUAUGUGAGAGAUUAUAGAUUACAACAUCCACUGAAAUGUAACUUCCAGAAUAGCUGGAAAAAUAGUCAGCUCUAUUAUCAACAGUGUCUAUGUGUGUACAUUUAGAGUAAUAGGCAUGAACUGAAAAUGAAAGCCACACUCAUUAUGUUUGUGUUUCUUUAGUAAAAGAGGUGUAGAUCUUAACACAGGAAGAUUCCAAAGCAGAGUUAAACAUCAAGAUCUAUGAAAGACUGCAGAUCCACCCACUGAUACACAAAUUCAUGGACAAUCAAGUCCCUUCUAUAGGAUGACAAUAUCUUUAUACAAUGUAUACAUAUAUAGAUUUCCUAUAAUGGAUAUUACAACACAAAUGUGAUAUGCAUAGUUAGUAUGUUUUAUUAAAGAAUAUUAAGAAGAGUAUCUAAUAUGUAUACAUGUUUAGUGCAAACACAGUUUCUUUCCAAAUAUUUUGAUCCAUAAUUGGUUGAGGUGGUGAAGGUAGCACCCGGUGGUUUGAAGUGUGAGUUUUGGUUAGAAAUUUCCACAUGUAUUCAAUAGGUAUUAAUAGGAUAACAUAGCUGAAGAGGUGCAUAGUCAAAUAAAUGUUUAAAAUACUGGAAUAAUAAAGAUAACAAAUUUUUCUCAGGGAUCUUAACAUUGGGAGUUUAAAGUAAGAGUUAAAAGAAUCCAGCACUACUUAAAGCCAUGCGCCCAGAGCUUUAGAGGCCUUAUGUUCUAAAUAUGAACUAUGGGGAACCUUUCUGAGAAUUACACAAACACCUCUUUUCCAUUCUGAGGCUGUGGGAGGCAGAAGCUGCCCUCGCUCCUUUCUGCCACUACUGUAUAAGAACGCAUCUGAGGUAGAUCGGUGUUCCUUGGUAAUUUGUCAAUUAAAACACAAUUCUAUAUUGCAUGCAAUCUUGAAGAAUAUGAUAGACUACUAAUAUCUUGAUGAUAUUGCCAAACAUAGUUGGUAAGACAGACUCCAUUUGAAAUUGACUUUAAAUUACUUUUAUUCUUUAUAUAUAUUUUUUUUAAUUUCAGAGAGGAAAUCCCUUAUUCUAGUUGGAUUUGAUGACGAAUUUCAAUUAACUUCAAUGCAUUAAUUUCUUGAUAUUAUCAUAUGUGGAGAAAUGUGUGUUUUCUUAGGACUAUACAACUUUUAAUAUGUAUAAAAUGUAGCAUUAUUUAUGGUUUCUUCUUGACAUGGGUGGAACACUACUUGGAGUUUCCUCUUCAAAGUCCAAAGUCCAAAGCACAAUUUAAUAUUUUCUUAUUAAUAUAAAGUAAAGCUAUGACUAUAUCUAUAUUUAAAUCUAAAUCUAUCUAUAUAUACUAUAUCUAUAACUAUCAUUUUAUAUAUCUGUAUCUAUCUAUCUUUCUAUCUAUCUGUCUAUCUAUCUAUCUAUCUAUCUAUCUCUAUGAAAAAUGAAUGCAUAUAGAUAAUGUGCCUUGUAGCAGUUUUAGUUAGGAUUUCUCUUGUUGUGAAGAGAUACCCUGAUUACGGCAACUCUUGUAAAGGAAAAUAUUUAAUUGGGGCACUGGCUUACAGGACCAGUGGUAUAGUCUAUUAUCAUCAUUGCAGGAAGCAUGAUGGCACACAGGUAGACAAAGUGCAGGAGAGGUAGCUGAGAGUCCUGUGUAUUAAUUGGCAGGUAGCAGACAGAAAGAGUGAAAUUGGGUUGGUUUGAGUGUCUAAAUCCUCAAAGCCCAUCCUCUGUGACAUACUUCCUCCAAGAAGGCCACACCCACACCAAAAAGGCCACACCUCCUAAUAGUGCCUCUCUAUGCACUAUAAGCUUAUGGGGGACAACUUCAUUCAAACCUCUAGAGCAGUCCUACACAUACAUGUAUACAAAGAGUUACUAUAUAUAGGCAUAUAAUAAUAUACUGGAAAAGUAUAUUUUUUUCAAUUUAUCAAGAUAAAGCAUAUAGAUAUCAUCUCAAAACGAUAAGAUAACUAAAUACUUUCAUGAUAAUUCCAUGAAUUAAUGUAUCAGAAGUUUCUUACAGUAGAUAUGUCCAAUAUCAAACUGAAAUUCUUUUAUACAACUAUAACCAUUUGCUUAAUAUUAUGUUUUUUUUAAUUACUAAAAACAUUCUUUCUCAUUUUGAAUGAAAGUUCUCUUAUGUCAAAACAUAAAUAAAACUCAGUGGUAUCAUAAAACCAAAUUAUUAGAAUACAAAUUUGUAAAAACAAAUCAAAGUUUUACACACUUGAACUAAUUUUGUGUGUUCAACUGCAUUAGAUUUUUUUCAUUUUAUAAUAUUCUUUGUAAGUGUUAUUUCUUGAGUUUUAACAACUUUCUUAAAAUAUAAUUUACCCAAGAUAAAAAUGUACUAUCAUAAGCUUUUCACUUGGUAUGUGUGAAGAAAUAUAUGUAACCAUAUGUACAACUCAAUAUGUAUGUGUAUGGAAACAUAUAUAUGCAUAAGUCCACACAUAUACAAAUGUAUGAAUGGUACUACUGUGUUCAAUUUAAAGAAAAGUAUGUCAUAGUUAGGGUUUUAUUGUUAUAAACAGAUACUAUAACCAUGACAACUCUUAUAAAGGAAAAAAUCUAACUGGGGCUGGCUUAUAAUUCAGAGGUUUAGUCCACGAUUUUCAUGGCAGUAAGCAUUGUGGCAUGAAGGGAGACGUGGUGCUGGAGAGUUCUAAAUAUUGAUAUACAGGCAGCAGGAAAAGUAUGCCACACUGGACAUGGCUUGAGCUUCUGAUCCCUCAAAGCCUUGUCCCACUGACAUAGUUCUCUAAUAAGACCUCACCACCUAAUGCACUAUUUCCCGUGAGCCUAUGAAGACCACUUUCAUUCAAAACACCACAGUAUCUAUCCUUCUUCAAAUUUCUUUGUAGUUCUAUCUAUGUGGAAUCUGUCUUCAUUCACAUCUCAGUAGUCCCUGGCCGACUUUCUCUCACUGUAGGUUAUAACACAAAUCACAACAUAGAGUCUUUUGAAUCUUCUCACAUUACCGUGAUCCUAUAACUAUUUAUGCUGUAAUGUGAACUUACAGUUCAUGUCUUUUUAUCACCAAGUAGUAUGUUAUUGUUCAGAUAGUCUAUAGCUGUUUAUCCAGUUGCCAGUUGUGAAAUUAAAAAAAAAAGUUAUCCAUUUGUGGUUAUUAGAAGUAUGUGCCUACUAAUUGGCACAUUUAAGUCUUUGCGUGAAUAUAUGUAUAUGUGUGUUUGUGUGGUGGGGUGGGAGAGAAAGUUAAUUCCCAAUGCUGUUUAAGUUUGUGAGCAUCCCUAAAUACACUACACUAAGGUUCUAGUUUUGCUAAUUUAGACAGUCUUUGUGUAGUUAUACCAGUGGCUGGUAUGUGUGUGUGCUUGUGUGUGUGCGUGUGUGUGUGUGUGUGUGUGUGUGAGCGUGGGUGUGAUACUACUGUGUAUAGCUUUAGUUUGUAUUUCAUAAUAAAUAAUGAUAUCAAGGAUGCUUUUACGAACUAGACAUUUAUAUACUGCCUUUGAAGAAAUGUUUAAACAGAUGUAAAUCACUUAUCAAUUGAUUGAUUUACAUGCAUACACCAGAACUUUUAUAGAUAGGUAGAUUAUAUGUAGGUACUCUAUUUUAGUAUCUGACUUUCCUUUUCACUUUCUGAAUAUUGAUUUUUGAAGAACUUCGCCAGGUGCUUUCUUCAGACCAUUGGUUGGCAUUGUACUAUACAAUAUGCUAGAGAUGUUUGCUUCAUUGCUACACACAAUUCUCUACUUUUCUAAUUAUGCUAUGUCAGCUACCAUAUUCAGAUAAUUGAUUCAUUUUAGUAUGUUUUAUGUAAGUCACAGAUACCUUAUCACUCAAGAUCAUUAUCAAUGGGAGAGAGUUAAGUUCCCUCUUCUAUUGUUUAAUAUCCUUAUUGCAAAACUCAUUAAUUAAUAGAAGGCCAUAUUGCUAGACUACACCUCAUGCCAUUGAAUGUGUCUGUAAGCCCAAGUUCAUGAAAAUAGGACAGAUCCUGAUGACCAUAGCUGUAUCUCCCAUUUAUAAAAUAUUUUAGUUUUGACUCUCUUUAAAAAUCAUUUACACCGUUCUAAAAUUUUUGUCAUUUCAUGUAAGCUCUCUUGUUUCUUACAAAGUAUAACAACAGAUCUUUCUGAGCUUAAUGGAGAUUCUGUCGUCAGUCUUGCUGGGGCAGACUGCUGUUCUAACAAUAUUACUCUUCCCUCAGAACAUGUGGAUCAUGUUAUUUUAUUUAUGCUUUGAUUUCCCUCGACAAUAUUUUAAAGGUUUCAUUUCAUAGGCCUUGGAAGUCUAUUAAGUUUAUUUAUAAAUAAUUUUAUUCCUUUCAUGCUACCAUAUGUUUAUAUUUAAACCAGUCUUUCUGCCCACAAUGCAUACACAUAUAAUUGGCUUUUAUAUUAGUCUUGCAUCUUUGGGUCAUGCUAUAUUUAUUUAAUAGGCCUAAUAAACUCAUUAUAGAGUGACUAGGAUGUCAAAAUCCCAUUCUGGAUAUUUCUCAGAAACAGACUCUUAUGUUCUCAGUAAUACAGAGGAGUGACUUUUCAGAUGACAGAAUAAAUUGUUGUGGGUAUUUCUGUAUAGGGUCAUGCUAUUCUAACUAUGAUGAAUGGUUCACAAAAAGUUAACUAUAUGUGCAUUUUGAGUGUUUAUUUGAUGAUAGCUAAAAUUACUAAUGUUCAUGUUUUAACACCAUUUCUCAUAUACAUAGGAGAUGUGGAGAAAAAAAUAAGAACAUACAAUCUGGCAGUAGAAUAGAUUCGAGUAAUUUAAGAGACCUUUGGUGGUAAAAUGCCCCCUUUACCCCAAAGAUGAAUAUUUAAAGUGAAUACUUUUUUCAAUACUAAUUGUGUUAACAAAUAUUCCUCUUUAGUGUUGAUUUCAUUAAAGAAACUGUUUGCAUCUUCUCAUACUUACUGCUUAAUUUACAGUUUACAGCAACAAUGCUCUUUUUAAUUUCUAUUUAAGUGCUGUAAAUUGUACUCUUUAAAACCACAUUAAACAUAAAUUUUCCUAUUCAUUUUAAGUGUCUUGUAAACUAAUUCUAAGCUAAGUUUACUCAUCUCUUACUUUAGGAAGAUGAACAUUUUUUUUCUUGAAUAUUUUUGGGUAUUUUUAACUAUAUAAAAUACAAUCUUCUCUUCAGCCAUAGUAUUAGCUGUUGCAAUGAUAAACACAUGCAGUUUACUGAUGACUAUGGGAAUAUCCAGUACAUACCUUACUUUCUAGGUAAAAUGCAGGUUUACUUGGUUUUCAGUUUGUUAUUUCUUUUUUAAGGGUUUUACUUUCUAAUAUUAACUAAUUAAUAUGAGAAAGGGCUCAGGGCUCAACUGCUGACAUGGACUGUAGAUGGGACCAGGAAGGAUCAGCACUGGGAGGGCUGAAGGAGAGACAAAGGGAAUAUGAACGGUAUCUCUACAUUGAGCUAGAAACCUAGGACAAUGGAAACUCCCACGAAUCUAUGAGGUUGUCCAUAGCUAAAACUCCUAGCAAUGGGAGAUAUGGAGCCUGAACAGUUUGUUAUUUCUUAAGCUGAAUACAUUUGUAAAUUAAGGGCACAAAUGAAAAAUGCUGUAUAACUCAGACAUGCAAAAUAGAAUUCAUAUACAGACUUUUGGAAUGUGACUGAAGAUUAUGCUACACAUAAAUUAGACUUUUUUUGUUAGUCUAUGGCUCUUGCUUUUAUUAUUAUUUUUAUUUUUUUUUAAUUAGGUAUUUUCCUAAUUUACAUUUCCAAUGCUAUCCCAAAAGUCCCCCAUACCCACCCCCCCAAUCCCCUACUCACCCACUCCCCCUUUUUGGCCCUGGCGUUCCCCUGUACUGGGGCAUAUAAAGUUUGCAAGUCCAAAGGGCCUCUCUUUCCAGUGAUGGCUGACUAGGCCAUCUUUUGAUACAUAUGCAGCUAGAGACAAGAGCUCUGGGGUACUGGUUAGUUCAUAUUGUUGUUCCACCUAUAGGGUUGUAGUUCCCUUUAGCUCCUUGGGUACUUUCUCUAGCUCCUCCAUUAGGGGCCGUGUGACCCAUCCAAUAGCUGACUGUGAGCAUCCACUUCUGUGUUUGCUAGGCCCAGGCAUAAUCUCACAAGUGACAGCUAUAUCUGGGUCCUUUCAGCAAAAUCUUGCUAGUGUAUGUGGUGUCAGCGUUUGGAAGCUGAUAAUGGGAUGGAUCCCUGGAUAUGGCAAUCACUAGAUGGUCCAUCCUUUCGUCACAGCUCCAAAUUUUGUCUCUGUAACUCCUUCCAUGGGUGUUUUGUUCCCAUUUCUAAGAAGGGGCUUUCUUUAGCUACAUGAGAUAAGCCUUUGGUAUUUAUCUGCGUAUUUAUAUGCACAUGUGCGUUUACAUAUAUCUAUGUAGAUAGAUUGAUGGAUUGAUGGAUAGAUAGAUUUGAUUCAACAAUGACUAACAUAUAAUAAGCAAUGUGUUUUACCUUUUAUUUUUAGAUAUUGCUGAAAUACCUAAGUACAACAUUUCUCAGAGCUGAGGUCAUAUAAACCAUUUCUUACAUUUAACCCUUGGGCUUCAAGUAGAGUUUAAUAAGGACAAACAUGAUAACAUGAAGUCAUCAAAAAUGAAAAAAAUUAAAAAAUCUAGGAGACUCAGGCUUUAACACGUUAGUGGUAUAAUAUGUGCUUAGGUGGUUAACAUUUUGAUCAUGUAAUGGUGAUAUUUUGAACUAAUCUACUUUCACGGUGUAAAAACUCAAACUCCCUUUAAACACUCAUAACAUUAUUCAGAAUAGCAUUUUAAUGCUACACCUAACACUUGUGUGAUAUCCUGUAAAAGACUACACACAUAUUCAACAUUCCUUCAUUUAAUUAUUAACAUUUAGCUAUUGAGUAAUGUAUAAAUCUGUCCUCUAGAUGAACAGAACUUAUAGAAGAAUCUAUCUAUUGAAAGGGGAUUUAUUAGAAUGACUUCCAGUCUGUGCUUCAGCUAAUUCAGUAAUGACUGCCUGUGGAGAUAAGUCCAAGAAUCCUAUAGUUGCUCGGUCCAUGAGGCUGGAUGUCUCAGAUGGUAAUGUCAGUGAGAGAGUGGACUUGAUAGUGAGAGUGGUAGCAAGCAGGCAAAGAGAGAGCAAGUUUCCUUCUCCCAUGUCCUUUAAGGCUGCCAGAAGAAACUAUGACCAAGAUUAAAGAUGGAACUCCCCACCUCAAAGAUCUAGAUUAGAAGCUGGUCCUCCCAUUUUAAAUGGCCUAAUUAAGAAAAAAAAAAAAAACCCUCAAGGGUGUGCCCAGUCUUCUGUAUAUUAUUAGUUAAGCCCAGGUGUGGUCAAGUAGACAACCAAGAUUAGGCAUCACUGACACUUUAGGAUACAGCUAUAUUUCACACAAUGGACAAUCUGAGAAUAUCAUUAAUGCCAAGCAUUUCCUAGAGAAAUAUAUUAUUUAGUGGUAUUCUAGUGAAGUAAUAGUUAAGGUUCUUUUCUACAGCACUGUCAGAAUCCUUAAACUUUACCUUGUAUUGAGUUCAAAACUAAAAUGCUGACUAAUUUAUACAUUUUUUUCAAAUCAUCCAUUGGAGGAUAGCCUACCAGAGGCCACAUCCUUAAAGAAAACUGACAGCAGAAACUACCAACUAUAGUAGAUAUCUUCUCAGCUAGGAAUAAAGACUUGUGGGCCCUUCCUGCUUCCAUAGGGCAGUGUUGGCUGGCAUUUUCCCCUGUGGUUCUUGUUCAGGCUUCCACAACUGCUGCUGCUAUGUUCUUGAGUGCAAAUUGUUCUUAACAGAGAAGGUGAUUAUAAAGGAAAGAGCUAGGCUCUGAAAAUUUUCCUUUUGUGGCAAAGCCAGCAAUCCCAUGAUAAGGCCCAUGCCAUACUGUUUAUAUUUGCAGCUUCCAGAACUGCAAAUUAAGUAAAACUUCUCAAAUAAUUAGCUUGUGUCCAGUGUUUUGCUGAGCAAUGGAAAGCAAAUUAGUUCAGUUAAUCAUGGGUCAUGAUGUGUGUUUGUGUGUGUGUGUGUGUGUGUGUGUGUGUGUGUGUGUGGUGUCAUCUAUCUAUACUUUAUACUAAUUAUCUCCUCUGUCUUUUUUAUAUGUAUUUCUUUAGAUUGUUCAUGUAGAAAUAUCUAGCCCUAUAUGUUCAAAGUUCAUUAUGUAGUUAAAGACAUUUUUAUCAAGUCUUGUUAGUUACUCAUUUGAUUCCUGUUCUAAUUAUGGACAGAGAUUUUUCUUUCAGUAAUUUCUCCUUUAAGCUCCUCACAUCACUUAGUACCAAGCUGAUAAGUAGCAAAUAAUCUUAAGUGCCAACGAAUUGAUUAACGAAGUUACAUUUUGCUAGA